UUUCAUAAUACUCUACUGUUUAGUUUCUCUUCUUCAUUUUUUUCCCCUUUGAAGUCUUUCAACAAAAAUGGGUGGCAACAUCUCAACCUUCUUCUCAGCGGACACAAUUCGUUCAAUUUUAUUUUACGUUGGUGGACAAGCAAAGUAUAUAUGGGGUCUUAAAGGCAAUCUCGAUGACUUGCAGACUCAAAAGGAUAACUUGAUUGCGAAAAAACAAGAUCUGCUGAAUAAGGUUAAGCUUGCCGAGCAACAACCCCGAAUCAGACGGACGACGACGGUGGAACUUUGGUUUAAAAGGCUGGAAGAAAUGGAAACUAAAGUUGAGAAUCUGCAAAAAGAAGGAGAUCAACAGGUUGAUAGACUGUGUCUUGGAGGCUUCUGUUCCAAGGACUUGAUUUCAAGCUACGACUUCGGCAAAAAAGUGGAGAACUUGAGAGGAAAAGUGAUCGAACUGAAGAAAGAGGGAGAAGCAAUUAAAGAAGUUUAUGAGGGGGUACCAGAAGGUGCAGCGGUUGAAAAAGCUGUUGACCGAACAAUCGUUGGUCAAGAAUCCAUACUUGACCGAGUGUGGAGAUGCAUCACAGAUCAAGAAAAGAAUAAGGGAAUUAUUGGCUUAUAUGGCAUGGGGGGCAUCGGCAAAACUACUCUGUUAUCACAAGUCAAUAACAAAUUCUGCAGUGAGGAGCAUGAUUUUGAUGUCGUUAUCUGGUCGGUUGUAUCUAGAGAGCCAAACAUGAAGCAGAUUCAAGAGGAUAUUGGGAAAAGGAUAGGCUUCUCAACAGAUUCAUGGCAGGGAAAAAGUUUUGAAGAAAGGGCUUCAGACAUCACCAACACUUUAAAGCAUAAGAAGUUUGUAUUGUUAUUGGAUGAUAUAUGGGAGUCCGAAAUUGAUUUAACAAAAUUGGGCGUCCCUCUUCAGACACUAGAUUCUGGGUCCAGAAUAGUCUUCACAACUCGUUUUGAGGGUACUUGUGGGAAAAUGGGAGCCGAUAAGAAUCGGUUCAAAGUGUCUUAUUUGGGAGAUGACGAUGCCUGGAAAUUAUUUGAGGGGGUGGUCGGGAGAUACGUUCUUGACAAGCUUUCCGACUUUCCGACGCUAGCCAAGGAUAUGGCACGUCAGUGUCAUGGUUUGCCGCUAGCACUCAAAACAGUAGGUUAUGCCAUGGCGAGCAAAGAGCGCCCUGAAGAAUGGAAAGAAGCAAUUGAGAUCCUAAGCGCAUCAGCUUCUAAAUUCGAAGGUAUGGAGAAAAAGGUGCUUUCGAGCUUAAAGUUCAGCCAUGAUAGUUUGCCGAAAGAUGAACUUCGAUCUUGUCUCCUGUACUGUUGUUUAUUUCCCGAAGACUGUGAAAUUGAAAAAACCGAGUUGAUAGAGUAUUGGAAAAGUGAAGGAUUUGUGGAUUCCAGCAGCGGGUGGGGGGUUCUUGGUGCUCUCGUUCGUGCAUGCUUAUUGGAAGAAGCAGGUGAUCGUGUAAAAAUGCACGAUAUGAUCCAUGACAUGGCAUUAUGGAUAGCAAAUGAAGUAGAGGAGGAGGAGGAUAACUUUUUGGUUCGUGCAGGAAUUGGAUUAACUGACGCCCCAAAGAUUGAAGAAUGGGAAGGGGUCAAAAGGAUAUCCUUGAUGAGGAACAAAAUUCGAAGUCUACCACAAAUUCCCACUUGUCCGCGUCUCCAGACUUUGCUUCUAAAUCAAAAAGGCAAAGCGCAAGAAAAAAGAAAUAAAAAAAUUCACAGUCACAUGUGGCUACACACAUCCCAACACCUAUCUGUCCAAUAAUUCAUCUCCAAUAAUUGCCCCUAUAUGACCACCGGUUUGUUCUUGCAUAUAUAAGAAACAGGAUAAAAUCAUAAUGUGUCAUUUAAUUAGCAGACGCAACAAGAUCCUACAGGAAAAGGGUUUGCAGGAAAAGAAAGGAAAAAAAUUGUUACAAACUACAGAAACCCAAAUAUUCUACUAAGCUAACUCUCAUUAAAAUUCGAAGCCAUUCUUAAAUCUCAGCUUACAGUACUACAUCAUUCCUUCUAUGUACCCCAACUGAAAUUCUCACAGAAGUCACAUUUCUUCGUUAGCCUCAACUCAUGCAUCUUUUACUUUUAAUCAGAGAUACUUUUUUAUAUGCUUGGCUUUACAACAACGAAUAAUUUUCCUUAGAUCCUUUCUAAUAGACAAGAAAGCACAAAGCACAAAAAUUGCCAUAGUUGGGUAGAUAUAAACGGCUUUUCCCGAAGCUUUGUCACAAGAAAACCUGAACAUCAUCGCUUCUCUUACAAGGCCCCAGAGCAGAAGAAGUGUCCCAAUUAGGCUCAUCCUCCGAGCUCCAAUUAAGGCUCCUGCAACAGACAAAUAGCUUCCUGCAAGAACCUGAUGUUCCCCCAAAAGAAAAAAAAAUGACAAAAUGAAAUGCAAUGUACUGCUAAGUUCAAGAGAAAAGCUCCUAAAAUAAACUUCUGGAAUUUCACUUUGCCCAUGGUUUGAGGACAUUUUUUGUACAAAGAUCACAUUCAGGCAUAAGGCUCGUAAUGUUCGAAAUAGCAAAUAAUUGAUAUGAAUAUGAUGGUUAAAAAGAAAAAAAAAUUACAACAACCUCUAAGCGGAGGAGAUCAGCUUUCCGGGAAUUCGUUAAAUUGGUGAAGUUAUAUAACCGGAGCAAUUUGCUAUAGCUUGGAAUGUUUUUGCCGUUCAUUAUGGCACUUGCUAAGGCUCCAGGAUAUAGAAGAACCUUGGCUACAAAUUCAGGGAAGACUUCACUUAUAAUUAACUGAAAGCAUGUCACCUCUAUAGGUGUCGUACAUUUUCCACUUCUACAUGGUAUCCUGCAAAAACAAACAAUACAACAUGUAUUAUACAAGUAUUUCAAGUACGAAAUAGAUCGAGAGCAUUUCUGAUGCUAUUAAGUUUAGCCAAAAAAAUCUCUACAAGACCUCUGGAAUUCGAAUUCCGCUCACAUAUGAAAGGAAUGUCAAAAAAGAAAUGUGGGUUGGAUAGGAUUUUACGUUUUAUUUCUAGAAUUAAAAAUGCUGCCAUUGACAGUAAAAUAAAUUUCAUGUGAUAAUUGAAUCAUAGAAGUGAGUACGUGGUGCGAAAUAAUCACCAUUAUUAUAUAAAAUGAGAAAACAAUUAUGGAAGAAGCAGAAAGAAUUACCUGAAAAGAGGGAUUUGGAAGACAAUGAGACAAAAAUAUAAAGAAGAAGAAACUGAAGAUAUAAUGGCUGCCCAUUUCUUUGAUGAACCCAUCAAAAACGGCUUGAAAAUUAAAGAAACUGUCAAAUGCUGUGAUGGAGGGAAUUGAAACCUAAAAUAUGCAAGUUAGAUCAUGGGCCCAUCUUGAUUGAUUGAUUGAACACAUAGCACCUGACAAGUGUCCUUUAUAUACUGACAUUAGUUUUCUCUCUUAAAUAAGGAAAUUGUUUAUUUAAAAUAGCCAAAAUUUAGGAGUUAUUUAUAAUUUUAGCCAGCUUUUCAUUCUUUUUAUUUUUUUAGCCAAGAAUAAUCCGUUUUAGAUACAAAUAUCCUUUUGUAAAUUAUACUAUUCCGCACGUGUUUGACAUUUGUCGAAUAUCUUAUGUCCUUUUUUUUUUAAAUAACUCAUUGUAUGUGCUCAUUUUUUUACAUUAUUACGUAAACGUAUAUUCCUCAAAAUGAAUUAUAAAGUAUCAAACGCUUUUAAUUAAACCUUAGUGCUAAUGAGCUCACUUUAAUGAUGUACGAAUAAUAGUAGCUUGUUAUGGACUUACAGUCUUUAGACAUUUAGCAGUGCGAAGUCACAAGCCUUGCCCAAAAUCUAGUGGCAUAGAUUACGGGCGAUAGGUGCCAUCACUCGAGUGAUUGAUGUCGUCGCCCGGCCGACGAUGUACAUCGCUGAGGCAACAAGCCAUUUUGCUAGGCCCAUUGCGUCGACAGCUUUCGUUGCCUGCAUGAUGGCCAAAUCCAUCCAAUAAGUUUUCAGCUCAUGUUUGAUAGCCCAAGAAAAACAGCUUUGGUGACCAUCACGCAUCCCAUUUUGCUUACAAGUCGUCUUAAUUUUCAUAGAAAAUUGUUGCUAUUGAUCUUCCGAUACUGGCCUAAUACUUGCAGAUAAUUAUUAAUCGCUUAUGGAAAGGCAGCAAACUUAAGGUUAAAAAAAAAAAAAAAAACUCUUAGAGGCAAUUUAGCAAACAUCUUUUGUGCCAUGAUUUUAUACCACUAAUUCUCUAAAUAAUUGCUAAUUUUGCCCUCCCAUUUCAAAUCUAAAUGGUAAUCUACUUUUGUCAAACGUAUACGCACUUGAACCCUUAAAAAUUAACUAUUCUACCCCCCAGAGGAACAGAAAAAUCUAUUUGUUUUGUCCCCGUACACUUUUCAUUUGUUUUGUCCACUUCCAAAUUCUAGAGAGAAACAAAAUGAAAAAAAAAAGAUUUUAAUAAAUUUGAUGCCUUGCUCACCGAAUUCCUCGAUUUUAAAUAAAAUGAGUGUCCUGAUCAUGUGAUAAAGAAAUGUUUAUUUCAAUUUCCAUCCAACCCAUAUCUCAUAAAGAAUUUCUCAACCUCAAAUAAGUAAAUAAAUAUCAUCUUGUAAUAAUAUGACAUUUACGUUGAAGUAAACACCGACCCACUAUUUUCUCAAUUGAAGAAUAUGUUUUGGCCAAAAUUCACAAUUUGCUCCACAUGAUUUAAAGCAUACAGAAUUCACACUUUUCUCCACAUGAUUUAAAAGCACAGAGAAUUCUCCCGACCUUAAUUAUGGAUCUUUAUUAUGUUUUUUGAAAUUCAAUAUUGUAGACUCAUUGGUGUAUAUAGAAAAUCAUAUUAGUAGAGUAAAAUUUAUAAAUAACCGUAGAAAAAAGUUCACGCUCUUACUUCUUUAUUUUUAUAUCUUAUUAGUAUAUCCAUUUACAUCUCUUCAAAAAAUACAGUUAAAAUAAGAUCAUCAAAUUGUAAAAUUUGAAGAGCAAUAUAUGGUUGCAAAUAUUUUUUUUUAAUAUUAAAUUUAAUUUUGACCUUUUUAAUGUUAGGUUGCACAUUUGGAUUAAAUCAAAUUAAAUUUCAAAUUAGAUCUUAGACGUUAUUUUAAUAGAUUCAACUGGAUUUUGGGCAUCUAAUUAAGCAACCGGACUGAUAAGUUGCAAAUGAAUGAGAUUUGUAUGUGAUUUUAGAAUAAAAAUUUAACUUGAAUUUAUGUAUUUAACUACUCCAACAAGACAAAUCUGCAAGUUCAACAAACUAAAUAAAGGGAAAACCUGUGGUGCAACUGUGGUAUCGUAUUAUAACUGCAUUCAGCCGUUGGAUGUCGGUAGAUCCCACCAACCUAAGUGCAUCCAACGGUUGGAUGCAACUGUAGCACGGUACCACAGUUGCACCGUAACUUGAUCCCUAAAUAAAAUAUGUUAUCUGAAACUUUGGGUACAAGUGGGGCACUUUAUCACUCAUUGGCUCUGCUACUACUUAUAGUCCAUUCUUAUUCAACUUUCAGAUCUUUUAUAUUAUAUACAAAUUAAAUUAUAUUCUAAAAAGUGUAUCUAACUGGUUAACAUAUUAUUUUUGGAUAAUAAUCAAUUUUACCAAAUAAAAAGGAGUUUUGGUCAUUCAUUUGAUCCGCCUGUGUUGCCACUAUCGUACGUUACAAAAGCUUUUGUCUUUUGUGACUCAGUUUACUGUAAAUUUUCGUUCAGCCCCUUGUACUCUAUUUUAUUUAUAAUUUAUUUAUAAGAAUUAUAAAAUUUUCUACUUACCUACACUAUUAAAAUUCAAUUUAUCUCCUUACAAUCUUUUUUAUUUACUUUUUUUUUUGUAAGUAUUAAAAAGAGUUUCUAUUUACAAUCACGAUAUAUUAAUCAUCAUAACACAUUAAUAUUAAUAAAAAGACAAAAAAUCCUUAAAUUAAUACUAAAAAAUGCUUCCCUCUCUUGAGGAAUUAUGGUAUCUCAUCUUCCAUCACUCAUUAUCAACAAAAUUUUCAAGGAUAUGACCAUUCAUCUUCUUUAUAAUGCCAUCUUAGAAUAAUUAAUACUUUCAUGAUAAAAGAAUUAACAAAAUAAGGAUAAAUCCCUUUGAAUCCAUCCCUCUCCACUAUCAUUUUCUCUUCAUUAGCAACCUUUAUCAACAAUUGAAGCCAUCAUCAGACUCAUCACACAGAGAGAGUGAGAGAGAGGAAGAAGAAACGAAAGUACGUUUACUCAACAUGAAUCGAAAUGAGUUAGAAUCAGAAUGAGUUAGAAUCAUAAUGAGCUAAAAUUGAAAUGAAGAAUUGGAACCAUAAUAAGUUAUUUUCUUGAUCUAUAGGAAUCGUAAUUAGAAUGAAUUAUAUUACUAUUGAUGUGUUUACUUUGUCUUAGAAUCAAAAUCGUAAUGAAUUAAAUUGUAAUAAAUUACUAUAAAAUCUUUAAUUAAUUAUUAUCAUAAUUAUUAUUCUGUAUUUUAACUAUUGUAAUUAUUAUUAUCAUUAAAAAUUUAAUUAUUACUAAUAAAUAUUGUUAAUUAUUAUUAUUAUUAACAAUUCAACUCAAAAAUUAUUAUUAAUUAUUGUUAAUAUAUUAAUUAAUUAUAAUGCUUUUUAUUGUUAAUAAUAAUAAUAAUCCAUUUUAAAAAAAUAACAGUAAUCAAAAUCAUCAUCAUCACAAUCACAAUAGCAACAACAAAUUAAUCGGAAUUGGUGGUGGCAUCAUGAAUCAUGAUCAACAGUGUCGACAUCAUCAUCAUCAUCGUGAAGAUGCCCGGUGAAGACAAAGAUGACGGCGACGAGGAGAUGUGGAGAUAUGCUCUUUUAAGAUGGUAAGGAGAUGAUGGCGAGAUUGUUACUGCAGUGGGCUAAAUAACGGACGGUGAAGAUGUGGUGAUAUGCUCUUUUAACAAUGUUCAUAUUGAUGCUGGAUAUUUUGGCAGCUUGUCCCAAUUCCAGAUGUGAAUGCAAUGUUCACAUUACAUUUGUUCGCCGACCAUUUAAUUUUGAACCACAAAAUCUGUGUAAAGUAGUUCACGUUUCACACUUCCGUAGCAGUUAUCAUCAGCAUUCGUCUCCCAUAUACUCAAUUUUAAAUCAUUGGAAAAUUGAGUUAAAACAUGAUAACAGAAUCUAAAAUUUAAUGGCAUGAAGGAACAGAAGCAAUAUCGGAUGUUUCAAAUCUACAGUAUAAUUUGCUUAGGUCCCUGAACAAGAUUGAAACUUCAAAUGAGAUCAAGCAGCAAAGUGUAGAUUGGAGGUCACAUGCUUGAUAUUUGAUGCUAUCAAAAACAAUUUGCAGUUCUGAAAUUGAUGCUCUAAUAAAUUUUCACAGGGAUUUCUAUAUUUACCACAAAUCUUCAGAAGUGAAACAGGAUAAAAUCAUAAUGCGUCAUUUAAUUAGCAGAGGCAACAAAAAUCCUACAAAAAAAGGGUUUACAGAAAAAGAAAGCAAAAAAUUGUUACAACCUGCAAAAACCCAAAUAUUCUACUAGCCAAAUCUUAGUUUAUACUAAUACAUCAUUCCUUGUUUGUUUCCCAACCGAAUUUCUCACAGAAAUCACAUUUCUUCAUCCGCCUCAACUCAUACAUCUUUUACUUUAGAUCACAAAUACUUUUUGAUAUGCUUGGCUUUACAACAACGAAUAAUUUUCCUUAAAUCUUUUCUAAUAGACAAGAAAGCACAAAAAUUGGCAUAGUUGGGUAGAUAUAUAAAUGUGAAAAUAACUAUGGAAGUAAGUCAAUAACAAAGAAUUAUCGGAAAAGACGGAUUUGAAAAGCAAUGAGACAAAAAUAUAAAGAAGAAGAAAUUGAAGAUAGGGUAGGGCUAUUGGCUCUCUAAAAUUUAUUUUGGACAUUGAUGUGGUCUUUAAAAAAAAUUAUAUAAUUUUAUUUUUAAGUUAUCUUUUAUCUCUUUGAGUUGUUAUCAUAGUUCAUUUUGAUUAAAUAAAAGUAGUUGUUGUGUUUACAUAAUUCUAAUGAACAUGGGUUUUAUUAUGCUUUUAAUCUUUAGGUCCAACUUCUGUAAGACAGUAUUUAAACUAGUAUCAAUAUCAAUAAUAGGAGGCUGAAAUAUUUUGUUUGGAGAUUGAGUAGUUGUAUUGGGAGAUAUCUAGUCCCUCAAAGUACCAAAAAUAUAUUUAUUAAAGCUUAGAUUCCUCAAAUUAACCCAUUUAUCACUUAUUCUUUUUAUUUUGUUUGAUUCCCUAUUGCAAUAAUUUGUGUCUGUGAGACUAUAACAGACACUCACAUUUUAAUAGUUCUUUAUUUCACUAAAUUAACCUCAAUGUAAUUUACUAUUGAGGACAAUUUAAUAAAAUAUAGUUCAAUAAAUUUUUAUCCAAUGUCUUAUUUUAUCUACAAUAAACUAUAUCAACAAUGAAGAAAUGAAUGAAAGUUCACAUGAAAACGCUAUCUGUACUUAUGGACUAAACCUUUUUAUUUUUUAUUUUUUAUUUUGUUAAUAGAAUUGCUAGGAAAACAUCAUGUAACACAUUCCAUCUUUUGUAACAAAAGGAAUUAAAAACAGAGGUGGAGGAAGAACAAUAAAUUGCAUCACUACAACAUAUGAAAAAUGAAAGAAAUCAAAGGAUAAAACUUGUUUUAAAUUUGCUUUCUGAUCUUCACUCUUAUCUAAUCUGCAUGCUUUCAUGGAUUUGAAAAACAAAAUUGAAUUGCGACAUUGAAGAGAAGAACAAACAUAUGUCAAACCAUAUUAUGAAAGCAAAAUAAAAGUUGAUAAAAUUGAAAAAAAGUUCAAAUAUUUUGUUUGUGAUGAUGAAUAUUUUAUUGGAUGUAAAGAGAAAAUAAGGUAAUUAAAGAAAUGGGUAAUGAGAACAAUAUAGGAAGUCGAAAAAUAUUCCAAAUAAAAAUUAAUAUUUUGAAAUUAUUAACUGAUGUUCAAAAUAAAUUUUAGAAUGCAAGUACCGCAUCGCUGCCCAUUUCUUUGAUGAACCCAUUAGAAACGGCUUUAAAAUUAUAGAAACUGUAAAACGCUGUAAAACUGUAAACUUUAAAAAGCUUGCUACAGUCUUUAAACCUUUAAUAGUGCAAAGUCACAAGUCUUGCAGCUAGUUGAUAUAUCCCCAAGCUAAAAAUAUGAGUUGUAUACUCUUUUUUUAUAAUGUUACUAGAACUAUUAUUAUCUUAUGUCUAUGAACGUAUGUUUACAAUAUAUUUCAUAAAUUUACUGAGAUAAGUGCAGAAAUUUACUCUAAAGUACAUCCAAUCUAUUGUCACUAACGCCCUAUUUAGUAUUUAGAUAAUGUAGUUGUUGUGAAAAAAUACAGUAAUUAUAAAAUAAAAAUUAAUAAUAUAUAGUAAUAUGACUUGUAAAUAAUAAUUUGAAAAAAAUAGUAAAGAAUUAUAAGUUUUUCAAAAUAAAAGUCGUGGAACAAAUUAAUUUAGCUUUCAAAUAACAGCAAGUAGCGUUUACCAAAUAUAAAAAGCUAUAAUUGUCCAAUCUAAAUCAGAACCUGAGCAUUUGAGCAAAAUAAUACUUUUAUUCCAUAUUUUACCAAUAUCCUCACCAUUAUUCAGAGCAUCAACCUUUAACUUUCUUCGAUUCUGUUUUGGUAUAACUUUUUAAGUAGAGCUUUUACUAAAAAAAUAAUGGUUUGGUUAUCAAUGAGAAUUUUUAUUAAAAUUUAUAAAAUUACUUUAAUAGGUAAAUUUCUUAAAGUUAUGUUAUGAAAUGAAUAAAAUAAAAUUGUGAAAUAUAUAAAGCAUAUUUUAGACAAUAUAAUAUUUUAAAAAACUUAACCUCUACUUCAAAAAACUUAAAAUUUAAACUUUUACUAGUAUAGAUAAAAUAACUUAUUUAAUUUUCUAAGAAUUUUACUCAAAUUAUAUAAAAAAUAUUAAGUUUUAAAAAAAGUUAUAAGAUUAAAUAAAUAAAUUUGACAGAACGUACACUAAGGUGGCGUUUGUUUUUUAACUUAAUAACUUAAAGUGACUUAACUUAAUUAAUUAAGUUAAUUAGAGGUGUAUGUUUUUAUAACUUAAUGAGAUUUUUUAGAUAAUUUUGACUUAAUAAAAUAAGCCAUUUUUUUUGCUUUUUACUUAAUGGAGAAAUUUGAAUUAAGUUAAUUACUUACUAAUGUCAAAAAUAUCCAUGUUUUAUAAUUUAUUUUUCAUAUCUAUCCCAAAACUCACCCAUAGACAUUUACCCCACAUAAAAAUAUCCCUGUUUUUUCUUUCUUAUAUUAUAUACCAUAAAAUUUAAAAUUUAUUGUAUUUUAUAUAUUAAAAUUCUAAAAUAAUUAUGUAUUCACUUGAAUAUAGUUUUACUUAUAAAUGUUAAAAUAUUAUAGUAUUUAAUAUAUUAUUUAUUUGACAUUCAAAUUUAAUAAGGAUACAAAUAUAAAAAUACACAUUUUUAACUUUUUCAAUUUAAAAAAAUAAAUAACUUAAUACUUAUUUUUCGAGAUUCAGACAAAAAAAUAAAUAUAUUAUUCAGAUUCAGACAUUCAGAUCUAUUCAUAAUUCAAAUUAAUUCAGGUCCAUUCAAAUUUUAAAUAAAAAAACAAACGCCACCUAACGCUUAGAAAAUAAAUAUUUUGCGCCGCAGAGGUAAGGUCCAAUAACGUUGGAACUGAGGUAUUGCACCAUAUAUAUAUAUUUGGUAUUUAACAAAGUUCUUGGGUGCUUCUCUGUUCAAUCCAGCGGCUGAAAUUAAUUAUUGGAUAAUUGAUGCAGCGACUGACAACCAUUGCAGCCGGUUGUAUAUUAAUUUAAUAGCGGUUCAGCAAGCGUGGGUUCCGAAAAUUUCUUAGUCCUGAUUAGGGUUUCACUAAUUCCAUCUGAAAAUUGAUCUCGCGACAGCAAUUAAGACAUAAAAUUAGAAUUAGAGGGUCGCAGUUUUUUUGGGAAUUAAAAUUUCCCGAUGAUUCAUACAUGAAUAUGGCCUCUCACUUGUAGGGAAUUGACGGUGAAAUUAUAAUCGUCACAGCAGAAGCAAUCGAAAGUUACGGUGCUAAAAGUUUAGGCAUAUAUCAAAUUAGCGUGGAUCUCGCGUCGCUUUGAUUUGGUCUUGUGCCGAUCGAAUCACCCGAUGCAGUAGGUAAUUCCUUAUUAAAACUCGAAAAUUUUUUUUAUUUUGAAAAGAUUUAAAACUCAUAAUUAGCUUGCAAGAACACUGUGUUUGUUUAUGAGAAUCAGAGAAAGUGAGAUUGGUAACAAUGGUUCGGUAAUUUCAUUACAGCAAUGAGGCGGGGGCUCACAAACAGAAAGCUAGCGAUUUAAAGAGCUGCAAUCAAGCUUUAGAAGCCGAUGGUAACAUAGUUAGAACAAUAGAAUCUGAUAGCUUUAGGGAUUCAUAAGCUAUUUGUAAGUAUUUGUACUCCCUGACUAAAUAAUUUGGGAAUAUAAGGAUGCAGUAAGAGUUGAGUGGUCUUUAUUCCCAUAGCAUUAUUUUUUUCUCACUUCAUCCGUGCUCUGUUCAAUCUUUAUGUGCCGCUUGUUAUGUUCCUGCAUAUCUAAUUACUUUUAGAUGCUAGUUGAUAUUUGACAAAUUUGCAGGUUAAGGAUAUUAGAUGGGACGCAGAGCUUGGCAGUCAGAACAUGGAAUUACAGUUGGUUGAAUACUUUACAGAUGAGUUUAAUAAACAAGUUGGUAAUUGGGUGAAGUGAGGAAGUCUCCCAAGGCCAUGGCUGAACUGAAGAAGCAAGUUAAAUAUACAAAAGCAAUUCUUUGUGCGAACACAAUAGAACCAAUAUCAGUUAAAUCUCUCCACGAUGAUAGGGACUUCAGAUAGGUGGAGUUCAAGUUCAGAUUUUACUGUUUGAGGUGCGUUUUAAGUUUAUUAACAAAAUUAAUGUGUUCUUUAAAUGAGUGAGGAACUGUAGAACAUGACAAGUAGAGUUUAUUGUGUGAGGGAUGCAUAUUCUCUUACAAGUGCUUUGUUCUUUAAUAUAGCACUAUAAGACAUCUUCUGAUGAAAAAUAGAGUCAAUAAAAUUACUCCAGACUGACUGGGCCGUUACGUUUUGGAUUCCAAUUCUUGCAUGCGAUUUCUUUUUCCUUUUUUUCUUUUUUCAAAUUUACUAGUGGUACUUUCAUUUGGUAAACUAUUCUAUACAUAUAUAUAUAUAUAUAUAUAUAUAUAAAAUCAAUUAUAUUGGCUUAUUCUCCUUUUAUGUUGAUUCACGCUGCUGGUAUAUAUAAAAUUUAUUUAUUAGUUUUGGUGAAAAUUUUGUUUUGUUGCACACGGAUAGUAAACCCAAAUACAUUCAUAUGGAUAUCUGGGGUUUGUUUUGUCUUUUAGGAGCAGCAUUACCUAUCGAAAGUUCAAAGAGCUCUAUGAACUUAAGCAUUCGGGGUUGAAAAUGGACGAGAUAUAUGCAGUGGAGUUCAUUGGAGGAGCUACUAUAGUGCCAAAGUUGCAGGUUUGCACUAUCCACUUUGUUUUGGUAGUUAGCCCGAGUAUUAAAUUCUUGAGGCGUGUAAGGUAGUGGACUUUAGCCAAUUCAAGAGUAGAAUAUAAUAUGUUUACUUGUUUUGAUCUUAAUCUUUAAUCACUUACCCUGAAUAAGAAAUAAUUUUUUAUAUUUGCUCUGCUAUGAUGUUAUUCGGUGUUAAUAGCUUCGUUUUGUUGCUCUUUUCCGCACAGAUUCUUGAUCUCAAAAGAACUUUUAUUUUGAAUAUUCUGCAUCAGGACAAUCUGAUUUAAUACCAUCAGUGAUUUUUCAUUUUUUCUCUUUAGUUUUAAUAUGUUUGAUAACUGUAUGGUUAAGCAAUCUAUGCAAUUUUAUCUUGUCGUAUGUUUGAGCUCAUUUUUUGUUGCAAUUCUGAAUAUUUGGUAUUAAUUAUGUGAUAUCGGACGAUACUAUUAACUUGUUAAUUGCUUAAAUCUAAUAUCUUGUCAAAGUCACUAAUAGCAUUUCAUCAUGCAAUGAGUUAAACAUGGAACAAAUGAUGACAUGCGGUUGUGGAAUGUGGUAGGUCUCUGGGAUUCUAUGUCCUUAUGCUUGCAGGGCAACACAAUACAUUCGUUAAAACAUUGAAGACUGUGAUGUCCGCAGAAAAUUAUAUGUCAACUUAUGCACCAGGCAUGAUGAAAUUAGCCAAAGACAGUGCUUGGAAGUGGCAAGCAAGUGACAAUUUGCUUCUACCAAUGACUUCAGAUCUCAAACCUGUUUCAAGCAAGGCCAGCAAUGACAUCAUGUUCAAAACAGUUUAGCCAGACACCUGUUCGCACCCCUCUACUACAUAUAACCUAGAGGUACAUUUUUUCUUUACAUUCUUUCUAUUCGAUUGGCAUUAGACUUAUCCAGUUCAAUACAGUAUUUCACAAAACUUAUACCAACUUAUUCCUGAUUAUAGUGGACACAAUUAACUUACUUUGGCAAUUGUUCUGAAGAGGCUGACAUCAACUACCAGUGAUGACACUCUCUUGUAAUGUUUUGGUGCUAUCUACUAAAUAUUACUACUACAUAAUAUUGACAAUUCGUCUGUGUGCAGGCCCGUGAUAACCAUUUAGAUCGACCAGAUAAAGGACUUGGACAUCAACAAUUUACCCAGAAACCAAUAAGAUAUUGUAAUCACAAGCAAUCACCCAUCUCUUUGGAUGGUGCUCUAUUGUGAUUCUUUCCUCUAUGACUGUUAAAUAAGCAAUGUAUUGCACUUUUGUUAUGCAAAAGUAUGGCGACCAUGUAUCAACCUGUGUAUCUAUUUUAUACACUAAUUAUGAAUUACUAGAAAUUUUAUUACAUUAAUCAUUUUUAGAUAGCUGCUCAUCUCAAACGAAAUAAACUGUUCAGGGACGCUUGACCCAACAUGCUUGUGACCGACCUUAGAAUAAAUUUUUGUCACUCAAUAUAGACAACUUCUACGAGAUUAAUAUUUUUUCAAAUUUCAACAAAAUCAAUGGCCACAGGAAUACAUACACAUGUUUCCGUUGGCAUGUUAAGUAGACGGGAACAACAUGUGGGCUAUGUACGCCAUUACCUUAAACGAAGCAAAAUUAUCUUGUGUUUAUCAAAGUUUGAAACCAAUUCUGUGCUUACAAAGAAUGUAUGAAUAACGCAUUAUACUCAUACACCAAACUUUAAUCUGAUGGAAUCAAGUAAUUCUGUGUUAAUCAAAGUUUUUAGACUUACAAGAUGAUGGUCAAGUUUAUAUAAAAGCAAAUAACACUGAAAUCUAAUCAUCCUAUACAAACAAAUAUGAUUUAUUCAAUUAUAGCAAACAAUUGUUUUAUCGGAGUUAAUUACAUUAUUGCUAAACUUGUAUAAGCUUUCCUGUUUCAAACAUAUCUACUUAAUUACAUUAUUCAUCGAUAAUGUUACUUUGCCCGUGGAAGUUUCAUUUUUUCAUACCUUAAUCACUAUUUAACGCUUCGUUUUCCAAUAGUUCUAAUUCUUCAAAUUUUGAUUUUAUUCUUCCAUAAUUAUAAAUUGAUACUGAUUCGCAGGACUCAAAUUAAAGUGGUUAAUUACUCUAAAGUAUAAAUCUAGCAGUCAAUAAUUACAUAAAAAUAAUUGCAAAAAAAAAGUUAAUAAGGAAUAGUAUAAAUUUAAAAACUGCCAAAGUUACGAGAUAUAUGCUUGAUAUUUAAAUCAUGGCCAUAAUACUUUCUCACAUUAUAUAUAUAUAUAUAUUAUGUGAUUCAGUUCUUUAAUUAACCACUCUAUGAAUAAAUAUGAGAAUUAAGUACAUAUUAUGCCACAACCUUAUUGAAGUGUUCCCACUACAAUAUUAGUAGUCAACAUUAGGUAUUUAGGUCUAAACACCCACAUAAAUCCAAGGGAUCUAGAUCUACAAAUAUUAACCACUCUAUGAAUAAACAUGGGGAUGAAGUAUAUAAUUGCCACGGCCAUAUUGGAAUGUUUCCACUACCAUAUUCGUGUGUCAACGUUGCGUCUAAACAUUUAUAUACAUCCAAGCAAAUUUAUAUUUGUAAAUAAAUAUAAAAUAUGGAAUGAAAAUCAUCAGUAGAAAAUAUAAAUUACAAACAAUAAACUAAAAAUACAUUUGAGAAAGUAAUUAAAUCCACAAUUUAGAUCCUUGAAUUUCACACUCAUCACCUUAGCUUAAAACAUUAGCCACUCAUAUUAAUAAACAAAGAGUGAUGAUAGAGCCACAAACUCUUGUACAAAUUUAUCUUGUACAAACUGACGUGGCAUUAAUUCAUUGGUUGAAUAAAAAUAUAAAAUAAUAAAAAUAAAUCAUGUGGGUCAAGUGAUAUUUAAUUCAACCAAUCUUAUCAUGCCACAUGAGUUUGUACAAAAUAAAUUUGUACAAGAGUUUGUGGCUCUAUCAUUACUCAUAAACAAAACACUCAUUUUAUUUUAUAAAUUUGUAAAAGUAUAAUACAAGAAAAAUUAAAAUAAAGAAGAAGAGAAAAAAAAAAUCUCUUCUUAUUAACUACACUUCUUCAUAAAAUUCACUCUAAAUUUACACUAAAUUUCUCUAGGAAACUCACCUCUAAAAUUCUACACCCCGAAUUAUCAAAUCUCUUGCCUUUAUAUAGGCAAAUUCUAGGUUGAUCAUGUGUGGGCAUUUAGAUGAUAUUUUUGGUGAACUUGCAACCACAACCCUUAGAUGACCUUUGAUAAUCCAAAUACAAGCCAAGGGGUCCAAAAUUGCAAGUAUUGACAUGCAUAAUAAAACGGUUGAUUCAACAUAAUCAAUGGUUAUAAUGAAGUCAAAUCUGGAUCCUCCGUUGGAAUUUUUUUUUUUUUUAAUUUAAGGUGAUUGAACCACUAAAUUGAUAAGUAUUAAAUCUAGUAUAAAGAAAUGCAUGUGAACUUAGACACACAGCACAAUAUCAUCUUUUCAUAAUUAAUGUUAAAUAAAACGGCUAUCAAUUCUUUUAAAAGUUAAAAUUAUAAUUUUUACCUUUAUUUAGAUAUAUACUUUCUAAUAUUAAUCAUUGAUGACCAAUUUUUUAUUUCAUCGCCGUCUAGAUUGCUUUUAUCUUACACAAAUUUGUUUAAAACCUUGAAAUAGUUUCUAACCACUACAUAAUUUUAUCUGUCGUCCUUAAUAUUGUUAUCCACAACUGACCAACAUAUUGUUACCUACCAUUAUAGUUGUGUAAUUCACCUUUUGUUAACUGACUUCACUAAUAUAUUUUAAAAGAAACGUGGCCAUCUGUUGCUCGUUGGAUCACUUGCUUUUAAAUCCAAUAAUUCCGUGAGAUAAAGACAAAACGCUUGCUAUAGCGCUACAGUUACAACAUAGACGUGGCUGUAGAGGCAAAAAAAAAAAAAUCUAUUUGUUUAGUCACUGUACACUUUUUCAUUCAUUUUGUCCACUUCCAAAUCCUCGAGACAAACAACGCAAAUAAAAAAAGAUUUUAAGAAAUUUGAUGCCUUGUUCGCCGAAUCUCUCCACUUUUAAUUAUUGUCGUGAUCCUGAUCGUGUGAUCUGGUAAUGGUAUGAGUCGGACCAUUAGUAUUCCUCCAAAAUCCUAUUUAAACUCUUUUUAUAUAUAUCUCCUUAUCUUAUAUGUAUAUAAAAUAUAUUCCCUUCACAUAAGAAUCUCACAAUAUUAUUUAUGUGAGAAAAAUAUAUCUUAUAUGUAUUUAAGAUAAGGAUUGUCUUUUAUAUAUUGUGCAAGUAAAAUAAAAUUUUAUAUUGUGUAAGUAAAAUAAAAUUGAGGAGAGAAAGAAAAUAUAAAUUCUUUAAUUUAAUUUAUAUUUAUUUUUAAAUAUAAUUAUAAUAUAAUAAAAAUUUUAUUAGAUUAAUGAAGAGGUGCCAAUAGUCCAACUCAUUAUAUUUUUUAUAAUAAACAAUUGAAAAAUAUGUUUGGACCGAAAUUCACAAUUUUCACCACAUGAUUUAUAGCACACAUAAUUCAUAAUUUUCUCCACACGAUUUAAUACCAACCCUCUUCAUGGACUCCACUUUUGAGAAGGACGUUACCCACCAACACGAGUAACCCAAAAAAAAACCUUCUUUCCCCUUCUGCUUUUAUUCUCAAUCUCUUUGUCACUUUGUUUUUUUUUUCCCUCUCUAUGAUAUUUAAAUGAUUAUAAAUAUUUCUUUGAUUUUAUAAAUUAUUUUCAAUUUUUUUAUUGUUAUUUUUUAAUAAAAUUUUUUAAACUAAAUAAAUUAUUUUAUUUCUACUAAUAAAAUUUUAAAUUUUAAAAUUUUAAAAUUUUAAAAGUAGAGAUUAAGUUUUUUAAGAUAUUAAAAUAUUUAAAAUAUCUUUUAAAUAUUUAACAAUUUUAUUUUUAUUAAAUAAUUUUAAAAUUUUAUUUAUUAAAAUAAUUUUAUAAUUUUUAAUAAAAAAAUUUAUUAAUAAAAAUGUUUUAAAUAAAUUUUAUUUAAAAUUUUAUACCAAAUGAAUCACAAGGCAAAAACACUGCACUUACCUAUCCAUACUGAUUAAACCCCCUCGCCGACACCUCUGCUCUCACCAUCAAGGCAUCAACACUUAAUAAUGACAAUUGGUUGUGUUUGCAUUUUGGUCAAAAUGCUGGACACCCCCCCCCCACCCAAAAAAAAAAAAACAAACAAAAAAAAUUUUAUGAUAAUAAUUAACAUUCAUAAAUAAAAAUAUUAAUAAUGGGUGUGUUAGCAUUUUGGUCAAAAGCCGAUUUGGCCUUCACAUUAAUUGGAAUUUUGGAUCUAUAAUAAGAUUUUCACCGAAAAGAUAAUUUUGCCGCUAAUUAUUAUUUGGGUAGUCAGAAAAUAAUAACAAAAAAAUGUUAUCUCUCACCUAUAACUUGAGGAGAUAAUAAUAAAAGUCUUUCAUCAUACUCUACUGUUAGUUUCUCUUCAUUGUUUUCCCCUUUGAAGUCUUUCAACAAAAAUGGGUGGCAUCAUCUCAACCUUCUUCUCAGCGGACACAAUUCGUCCAAUUUUAUUUUACGUCGGUGGACAAGCAAAGUAUAUAUGGGGUCUUAAAGGUAAUCUCGAUGACUUGCAAACUGAAACGGAGAACUUGAUUGCGAAAAAACAAGAUCUGCUGAAUAAGGUUAGGCUUGCUGAACAAACACAGCCUCGUGGCCAACGGACGAGCACGGUGAAACUCUGGUUCGAAAGGGUGGAUCGAAGUGUAACUCUUGUUGAGGGGCUGCAACAAGAAAGAGAUCAAGAGAUUGACAGAUUGUGUCUUGGAGGCUUCUGUUCCAAGGACUUGAUUUCAAGCUACGACUUCGGCAAAAAGGUGGAGAAGUUGAAGGAAGAAGUAAUCAAAUUGAGGGAAAAAGGAGAAGCGAUGAAAGAAGUUUAUGAGGGGGUACCAGAAGGUGCAGCGGUUGCAAUAGCUGUUGACCGAACAAUUGUUGGUCAAGAAUCAAUACUUGACCAAGUUUGGAGAUGCAUCACUGAUCAAGAAAAGAAUGAGGGAAUUAUUGGCUUAUAUGGUAUGGGGGGCGUCGGCAAAACUACUCUGUUAAACCAAGUCAAUAACAAAUUCUGCGGUGAUGAACAGCAUCAUUUUGAUGUCGUUAUCCGGUCGGUUGUAUCUAGAGAGCCAAACAUGAAGCAGAUUCAAGAGGAUAUUGGGAAAAGGAUAGGCUUCUCAAAAAAUUCAUGGCAGGAUAAAAGUUUUGAAGAAAGGGCUUCAGACAUCACCAACACUUUAAAGCAUAAGAAGUUUGUAUUGUUAUUGGAUGAUAUAUGGGAGUCCGAAAUUGAUUUAACCAAAUUGGGCGUCCCUCUUCAGACACUAGAUUCUGGGUCCAGAAUAGUCUUCACAACUCGUUUUGAGGGUACUUGUAGUAAAAUGGGAGCCCAUAAGAAUCGGUACAAAGUGUUUUGUUUGGGAGAUGACGAUGCCUGGAAAUUAUUUGAGGGGGUGGUCGGGAGAUACGUUCUUAACAAGCAUCCCGACAUUCCGAAGUUAGCCGAGGAUGUGGCACGUCAGUGUCAUGGUUUGCCGCUAGCACUCAAAACAGUAGGUAAUGCCAUGGCGAGCAAAGUGUACCCUGAAGAAUGGAAAGAAGCAAUUGAGAUCCUAAGCGCAUCAGCUUCUAAAUUCGAAGGUAUGGAGAAAAAGGUGCUUUCGAGCUUAAAGUUCAGCUAUGAUAGUUUGCCGAAAGAUGAACUUCGAUCUUGUCUCCUGUACUGUUGUUUAUUUCCCGAAGACUAUGAAAUUGAAAAAACCGACUUGAUGGAGUAUUGGAAAAGUGAAGGAUUUGUGGAUUCCAGCAGCGGGUGGGGGGUUCUUGGUGCUCUCGUUCGGGCAUGCUUAUUGGAGGAAGCAGGUGAUCGUGUAAAAAUGCACGAUAUGAUCCGUGACAUGGCAUUAUGGAUAGCAAAUGAAGUAGAGGAGGAGGAGGAGAACUUUUUGGUUCGUGCAGGAGUUGGAUUAACUGACGCCCUAAAGAUUGAAGAAUGGGAAGGGGUCAAAAGGAUAUCCUUGAUGCAGAACAAAAUUCAAAGUCUACCACAAAUUCCCACUUGUCCGCGUCUCCAGACUUUGCUUCUAAAUCGAAAUCAUAUUGCGAAGAUCACUGACAGUUUCUUUCAAUCUUUGCCUUAGCUUAGAGUUUUGAAUCUAAGUGAAAAUUAUUCCCUGACUGAACUACCUGUGGGGAUUUCAAGUCUGGUUUCAUUACACCAUCUUGAUCUGUCUUCUACUAAAGUACGUGGAUUGCCGCAAGAGCUCAAGGCAUUGGUGAAUCUGAGAUAUUUGAACUUGGAGUAUACAAAUGAAAUGAGGAAAAUUCCACAGCAGCUGAUAUCAAGCUUUUUAAAGUUACAGGUACUCAGGAUGCUGUGUUGCGGUCAAAGUCACCAGCCAAUAGUGGAAGAAGGCAACGUUCUAUCUGAUGAUGCUGAAUCAUUGAUGAAGGAAAUCCACUGUUUGGAACAAUUAAAUAUCAUCACCUUGUCCUUACGUGGUUCGCGUGGUGUUGAAAACUUUCUGAAAUUCCCAAAGCUGCAGAAUAUCACUCAAGCUCUGCACAUCAAAGACUGCAACAGUCUACCGCUCAAUUUGUUGCAUCUAGCAAACAUGGAGCAUCUUGAGGAGUUAGAUAUCGAGGAUAGUAAUUUGGAAGACUGGAAUGUCGACUGCGCGGGAGAGGUACAAAAAAUGCGUAAACUUCACUCGGUUGUCAUACGGAAUUGCUCAAAUGUGAAGGACUUGACGUGGCUUGUUUUUGUUCCAAAUCUCAAGUGGCUGCAAAUAUUUCAUUGUGAUGACAUGGAAGAAAUAAUCAGUGUUGAAAAAUUGAGUGAAGUUUCAGAGAUGAUGGGAGAGCUUAACUUGUUCGCAAAACUCGAACUUCUGAUAAUAAAAAAUGCAAGUAACUUGGAGCGCAUCUACCGCGAUCCCUUGCCCUUUCCACAGCUGGAGACAAUUUCCAUAUCGCUAUGCCCAAAGUUGAAGAAGCUCCCGCUCAAUUCCAGCAGCGCAAAGGGACGUAAAAUUGCCAUUUACGGGGAGAGAAAAUGGUGGGAAGAGCUACAAUGGGAGGAUCAAGCCACUCAAAAUGCUUUCUCGCCCUGUUUCCUACCUUUAAGAAUAAUGAAGGGCAAUAAGGAGCAAGAGUGUGAAUAAAAUUGCUGCGUGUGCUUAAUAAUUUUUUGGUUGCCAAUGAGAUUUUUUAUUAAAAUUUAUAGAAUUACUUUAAUAGGUAAAUUUCUUAAAGUUAUGUUAUGAAAUGAAUAAAAUAAAAUUGUGAAAUAUAUAAAGCAUAUUUUAGACAAUAUAAUAUUUUAACCUCUACUCCACAAAAUUUAAAAUUUAAACUUUUAUUAGUAUAGAUAAAAUAACUUAUUUAAUUUUUUAAAAAUUUUACUCAAAUUAUAAUUAAAUAAUAUUAAGUUUAAAAAAAAGUUAAAAAAUUAAAUAAAUAUAUUUGACUGAACAUACACUAACUUGAACUCUUGAAAAAUAAAUAUUUCGUGCCACAUCGGUAGGGUCCAAUUAUGUUGUAACUAAGGUAUUAUACCACAGUUCCUCUUUUUUUUCCCGUAUUAUUAGAUAAUUGAUGCAAAUUAAGCAAAGUUGUUGGGUGCUUCUCGUUCAAUCUAGCGGCUGAAAUUAAUUAUUGGAUAAUUGAUGCAGCGACUAGCAACCGCUGCAGCCGGUGUAUAUUAAUUUAAUAGCAGUUCAACGAGUGUGGGUUUCGAAAAUUUCUUAGUGCUAAUUAGAGUUUCACUGAUUUCAUCUGAAAAUUGAUCUCGAGACAGCAAUUAAGACAUAAAAUUAGAAUUAGAGGGUCGCAGUUUUUUUGGGAAUUAAAAUUUCCCGAUGAUUCAUACAUGAAUAUGGCCUCUCACUUGUAGGGAAUUGACGGUGAAAUUAUAAUCGUCACAGCAGAAUGCAAUCGAAAGUUACGGUGCUAAAAGUUUAGGCAUAUAUCAAAUUAGAGUGAAUCUCACGUCACUUUGAUUUGGUCUUGUGCCGAUCGAAUCACCUGAUGCAGUAUGUAAUUCCUUAUUAAAACUCGCAAUUUUUUAUUUUGAAAAGAUUUAAAACUUGUAAUUUCAUUACAGAAAUGAGGCGGGGGCUCACAAACAGAAAGCUAGCGAUUUAAAGAGUCGCGAUCAAGCUUUAGAAGCCGAUGGUAACAUAGUUAGAACAAUAGAAUCUGAUAGCCAUUAGGGAUUCAUAAGCUACUUGUAAGUAUUUGUACUCCCUGACUAAAUAAUUUGGGAAUAUAAGGAUGCAAUAAGAGUUGAGUGGUCUUUAUUCCCAUAGCAUUAUUUUUUUCUCGCUUCAUCCGUGCUCUAUUCAAUCUUUAUGUGCCGCUUGUGUUAUGUUCCUGCAUAUCUAAUUACCUUUAGCUGCUUGUGUUAUGUUUACUUGUUUUGAUCUUAAUCUUUAAUCACUUAGCCUGAAUAAGAAAUAAUUUUUUAUAUUUGCUCUGCAAUGAUGUUAUUCGGUGUUAAUAGCUUCGUUUUGUUACUCUUUUCCGCACAGAUUCUUGAUCUCAACAGAACUUUUAUUUUGAAUAUUCUGCAUAAGGACAAUCUCAUUUAAUACCAUCAGUGAUUUUUCAUUUUUUUUCUCUUUAGUUUUAAUAUGUUUGAUAACUGUAUGGCUAAGCAAUCUAUGCAAUUUUAUCUUGUCGUAUGUUUGAGCUCAUUUUUUGUUGCAAUUCUGAAUAUUUGGUAUGAAUUAUGUGAUACCGGACAAUACUGUUAACUUGUUCAUUUCUUAAUUUUAAUAUCUUGUCAAAGUCACUAAUAGCAUUUCAUCAUGCUAUGAGUUAAACAUGGAACAAAUGACGACAUGCAGUUGUGGAAUGUGGUAGAUCUCUGGAAUUCUAUGUCCUUAUGCUUGUAGGGCAACACAAUACAUUAGUUAAAACAUUAAAGACUAUGAUGUCCGCAGAAAAUUAUAUGUCAACAUAUGCACCAGGCAUGAUGAAAUUAGCCAAAGACAGUGCUUGGAAACAAUUAACUAACUUUUGGCAUUAGGCGUAUCAAGUUCAAUUCGGUAUUUCACAAAACUUAAACUAACUUAUUCCUAAUUAUAGUGGACACAAUUAACUAACUUUGGCAACUGUUCUGAAGAGGAUGACUUCUUCAGGAUGACAUCAACUACCAGCGAUGAUACUAUCAGUAAGCUGCUUCUGCUAUCUAUUAAAUAUUACUGCUAAACGUAAUAUUGACAAUUUGUCUGUGUGCAGGCCUGUGAUAACCACUUGGAUCGGAUAAAGGACUGGGACAUCAACAAUUUGCCCAGAAACCAAUAAGAUAUCAUUGUAAUGUUUAAUUAUACAUGUAUUAGUUUCUCUUUGGAUGGUGCUCUUUGUUAUGCAAAAGUAUGGCGACUAUGUUUCAACCAGUGUAUCUAUUAUAUACACUAACUAUGAAUUACUAGAAAUUUUAUUACAUUAAUCAUUUUUAGAUAGCCACUCAUCUCAAACGAAACAAACUGGUCAGAGACACUUGACCCAACAUGCUUGUGAUCGACCUUAGAAUAAAUUUUUCUCACUCAAUAUAGACAACUUCUGUGAGGUUAAUAUUUCUUCAAAUGUCAAGAAAAGCAUUGGCCACAUGAAUGCAUACACAUGUUUUUGUUGGGAAGUUAAGCAGACGGGAACAACAUUGGGCUAUAUACACCAUUACCUUAAAUGAAGCAAAAAUAUCUUGUGCUUAUCAAAGUUUGAAACUAAUUCUGUGCUUAUCAAGAAUCUAUUAAUAACACAUUAUACUCAUACACCAAACUUUAAUCUGAAUGAAUCAAGUAAUUCUAUGUUAAUCAAAGUUUUUAGACUUAUACGAUGAGGGUCUAGUUUAUAAAAAUGCAAAUAUCACUGAAAUCUGAUAAUCCUUUACAAACAAAUAUGAUUUAUUCAAUUAUCGCAAACAAUUAUUUUAUCAAAGUUAAUUACAUUAUUGCUAAACUUGUAUAAGCUUUCCUGUUUCAAACAUAUCUACUUAAUUACAUUAUUCAUCGACAGUGUUACUUUGCUUGUAGAAGUUUCAUUUUUUCAUACCUUAAUCACUAUUUAACGCUUCGUUUUCCAAUAGUUAUAAUUCUUCAAAUUUUGGUUUUAUCCUUCCAUAAUUAUAAAUUGAUACUGAUUCGCACGACUCAAAAAAAAGUGGUCAAUUACUCUAAAAGUAUAAAUCUGGCAAUCAAUAAUUACUUAAAAAUAAUUGCAAAAAAAAAUUAAUAAGGAAUAGUAUAAAUUUAAAAACCGCUAAAGUUACGAGAUCCAUGCUUGAUAUUUAAAUCAUGGUCAUAAUACUCUCUCACACACACACAUAUAUAUGUAACCACUUUUAAUAUUAUGUGACUUAGUUCUUAAUUAACCACUCUAUAAAUAAAUAUGAGAAUUAAGUACAUAUUAUGCCACAACUUUAUUGGAGUGUUCCCACUACCAUAUUAGUAGUCAACAUUAAGUCUAAACAUCCACAUAAUAUUUUUGGUGAACUUGCAACCACAACCUUUAAAUGACCUUUGAUAAUACAAAUACAAUCCAAGGGGUCCAAAAUUGCAAGUAUUGUCAUGCAUAAUAAAACAGUUCAUUCAACAUAAUCAAUGGCUAUAAAGAAGUCAAAUCGGGAUCCUCCAUUGGAUUUUUUUUUUUAAUUAUUCAAGGUGGUUGAAUCACUAUAUUGAUAAGUAUUAAAUUUACUUAAUUUAGUAUAAAGAGGACACACAUCAACUUUUCAGAAUUAAUGUUAGAUAAAACGGCUACCAAUAUUUUUGUAAAAAUUAAAAUUAAAAUUUUUACUUUUAUUUAAUAUAUACUUUCUAGUAUUAAUCAUUGAUGAACAAUUUUUUAUUUCAUCGCCGUCUAGAUUGCUUUUAUCUUAUACAAAUUUGUUUAAAACGUUUAAAUAGUUUCUAACCACUAUAUAGUUUUAUAUGUCCUUAAUCUUGUUAUCGACAACUGACCAACAUAUUGUUACCUACCAUUAUAGUUGUGUAAUUUACCUUUUGUUAACUGACUUCACCAAUAUAUUUUAAAAGAAACGUGGCCAUCUGUUGCUCGUUGGAUCACUUGCUUUUAAAUCCAAUAAUUCCAUGAGAUAAAGACAAAACGCAUGCUAUAAUGCUACGGUUACAACAUAGACGUGGCCGGAGAGGUAAAAAAAAAAAAAAAUGUAUUUGUUUAGUAACUGUACACUUUUUCAUUCAUUUUGUCCACUUCCAAAUCCUCCAGAGAAACAACGCAAAUAAAAAAGAUAUUUAAGAAAUUUGAUGCCUUGUUCGCCGAAUCUCUCCAUUUUUAAAUAGUGUCGUGAUCCUGAACAUGUGAUAUGGCGCCUAUGUUACAUUUGAGUCGGACCAUUAGCAUUCCUCCAAAAUCUUAUUCAAAUUCUUUUUUUAAUUAUAUUUUAUUUAAUAUUAAAAAUAUUUUUUUUUACUCUUUCAGUCUUAAUAUUUAUAUUUUUCUCUUUAAUUUUUUUAUUAUUUAAUUUUUAAAGAAAAUAUCUAAAAAAAGUAAGAAAAACAUUAUAUUUAAAAAAUAAUGAAUAUUUUAUGGAUUUAAUACAAUUUUAUCCUACUUAUAAAUUUUGAGUUUAUUGGGUUCAACAAUUAGUUUGAGAAUCCUUAAAAAAUUAGUUGCAUUAUUUAAUUUGUUUUUACCCUAUGUUGUAUCUUAAUUAAAUUAUUAUAUUUAUUACAAGAAUUUUAUUUUGGCUUAGAGGAUUACUUCUUAAAUUCAAAUUAUUUUAAUGAUAACAAAAAAUUUAUAUUGUGCAAGCAAAAUAAAAUUGAGAAGAGAAAGAAAAUAUAAAUGGUUUAAUUCUAUUUAUAUUUAUCCUUAAAAUAUAAUUGUAAUGUAAAAAGAAUUUUAUGAGAUUAAUGAAGGGGUGCCGAUAGUCGAACUCAUUAUAAUUUUUGUAACAAACAAUUCAAGAAUAUGUUUGGACCGAAAUUCACAAUUUUCACCACAUGAUUUAAAGCACACAUAAUUCAUAAUUUUCUCCACAUAAUUUAAAACCAACCCUCUUUCUGGACUCCACUUUUGAGAAGGACGUUACCCACCAAUACGAGUAACCAAAAAAAAAAAAAAAAGGAACCCUCUUUCCCCCUCUGCUUUUAUUCUCAAUCUCUUUGUCACUUUGUUUUUUUUUUUCCUCCUCUCUCCAUGAUAUUUAAAUGAUUGUAAAUAUUUCUUUCAUUUUAUAAAUUAUUUUCAAAUUUUUUAUUGUACUUAGUUAUUUUUUAAUAAAAUUUUUAAAAUUAAAUAAAUUAUUUUAUUUCUACUAAUAAAAUUUUAAAUUUUUAAAAGUAGAGAUUAAAUUUUUUACGAUAUUAAAAUAUUUAAAAUAUCUUUUAGAUAUUUAACAAUUUUAUUUUUAUUAAAUAAUUUUAAAAUUUUAUUUAUUAAAAUAAUUUUAUAAUUUUUAAUAAAAAAAUUUAUUAAUAAAAAUGUUUUAAAUAAAUUUUAUUUAAAAUUUUAUACCAAAUGAAUCAUAAGGCAAAAACACUGCACUUACCUAUCCAUACUGAUUAAACCCCCUCGCCGACACCUCUGCUCUCACCAUCAAGCAUCAACACUUAAUAAUGACAAUUAUUUGUGUUAGCAUUUUGGUCAAAAGUUGGACCCCCCCCCCCCCCCCAAAAAAAAAAAACAAAAAAUUUUUAUGAUAAUAAUUAACAAUCAUAAAUAAAAAUUAGGGAAAAUGACAUUCAACCCACAACGUUUAAGAAAAUGGAUAAAAAAAUCCUCUUCAACGUUUUAAAAAGGAUUUAUAAUCCCCUUUCAGUUAAUAAAUACCGUUUGUUUUAACAAUAAAUAUAUUUUUAAUUUUUAAUUUUUAAUUAUUAUUAUACUCUUAUAAUAAAUAAAUUAAUAUAUUAAUUUGAGAUAUAUCACAAUUAACAAAUGUCAUCUAGCUAGCGUGGGUUGGAAUCGUUCUUUUAAGUUUUGACCAAAUCAAUAAAGUAUGGUUUAAAAAAAAAAACUCUCGAUUCUUUAAUCAAAUGUGCAAUAAAUAUUAACUAAUUCACUAGCACUCAUCUCAAACCAAAAUAAACUAAUAAAAAAAUCAUUAAUUUUCAGCACCAAAACGAAGUAUCAUGACAAACAAGAAACAACUCAGCCACCUACAUACCCAAAACCCCAAAAAUCCAAAACUUAUACACCAAGAAGCCCAAAAAAAAGCCGUAUAAUUCUGGUUCAAUAUUUGAACAUAGAUUCUUUUCAUGAUAAUGAAAUCAUUUAUAUUUAUUUUUAUAAUAAAAAAUUACAAAAAGAUAAAAAAGAAAAUUAGCAACUGCACUACGAUGAACAUGGAUACUAACCAAAACUUCUUCCAAAGAACAUGUUAACCUUUAUCUCUCACUAUAAGUGUCGCCGUCAAGUCAAUCUAGUGUAAUGGUUUUGAUUCCUCAAAGAAAAAGGGUUUAAUCAAAUUUCGUUUUAUUAGUAAUAAUCACAUAUGAAAUGUUUGAUCAUUAGAAAGGUAUAAUUUAUAGCAAAUAAUUUGGGCAAAAAUAUAAUUGUAUCUCAAUUUUUAAUUUUAAAAAAAUUAUUAAUUGUGACAUGUCUCAAAUCAAUAUAUUAAUUUAUAUUUAUUAUAAAGGUAUAAUAGUAAUUAAAAAUUAAAAAUAAAUUUACUAUUAAAAUAAACGGUGUUUGUUAACGAAAAAGAAAUUAUAAGUUUUUUUUUAAAACGUUGAGAAGUUUUUUAUCUCUUUUUUUAAAAGUUGCCUUUUCCCUAAAAAUUAAUAAUGGGUGUGUUAGCAUUUUGGUCAAAAGCCGAUUUGGCCUUCACAUUAAUUGGAAUUUUGGAUCUAUAAUAUGAUUUUCACCGAAAAGAUAAUUUUGCCGCUAAUUAUUUGGGUAGUCAGAUAAUAAUAAUAAUAAAAUGUUAGUUUCUCUUCUUCAUUUUUUUUCCCCUUUGAAGUCUUUCAACAAAAAUGGGUGGCAUCAUCUCAACCUUCUUCUCAGCGGACACAAUUCGUCCAAUUUUAUUUUACGUCGGUGGACAAGCAAAGAAUAUAUGGGGUCUUAAAGGUAAUCUCGAUGACUUGCAAACUGAAACGGAGAACUUGAUUGCGAAAAAACAAGAUCUGCUGAAUAAGGUUAGGCUUGCUGAACAAACACAGCCUCGUGGCCAACGGACGAGCACGGUGAAACUCUGGUUCGAAAGGGUGGAUCGAAGUGUAACUCUUGUUGAGGGGCUGCAACAAGAAAGAGAUCAAGAGAUUGACAGAUUGUGUCUUGGAGGCUUCUGUUCCAAGGACUUGAUUUCAAGCUACGACUUCGGCAAAAAGGUGGAGAAGUUGAAGGAAGAAGUAAUCAAAUUGAGAGAAAAAGGAGAAGCGAUGAAAGAAGUUUAUGAGGGGGUACCGGAAGGUGCAGCGGUUGCAAUAGCUGUUGACCGAACAAUUGUUGGUCAAGAAUCAAUACUUGACCAAGUUUGGAGAUGCAUCACUGAUCAAAAAAAGAAUAAUGGAAUUAUUGGCUUAUAUGGUAUGGGGGGCAUUGGCAAAACUACUCUGUUAAAACAAGUCAAUAACAAAUUCUGCAGUGAGGAGCAUGAUUUUGAUGUCGUUAUCUGGUCGGUUGUAUCUAGAGAGCCAAACUUGAAUCAGAUUCAAGAGGAUAUUGGCAAAAGGAUAGGCUUCUCAACAGAUUCAUGGGAGAGAAAAAGUUUUGAAGAAAGGGCUUCAGACAUCACCAAUACUUUAAAGCAUAAGAAGUUUCUAUUGUUAUUGGAUGAUAUAUGGGAGUCCGAAAUUGAUUUAACCAAAUUGGGCGUCCCUCUUCAGACACUAGAUUCUGGGUCCAGAAUAGUCUUCACAACUCGUUUUGAGGGUACUUGUGGUAAAAUGGGAGCCCAUAAGAAUCGGUACAAAGUGUUUUGUUUGGGAGAUGAGGAUGCCUGGAAAUUAUUUGAGGGGGUGGUCGGGAGAUACGUUCUUAACAAGCAUCCCGACAUUCCGAAGUUAGCUGAGGAUGUGGCACGUCAGUGUCAUGGUUUGCCGCUAGCACUCAAAACAGUAGGUAAUGCCAUGGCGAGCAAAGAGUACCCUGAAGAAUGGAAAGAAGCAAUUGAGAUCCUAAGCGAAUCAGCUUCUAAAUUCGAAGGUAUGGAGAAAAAGGUGCUUUCGAGCUUAAAGUUCAGCUAUGACAGUUUGCCGAAAGAUGAACUUCGAUCUUGUCUCCUGUACUAUUGUUUAUUUCCCGAAGACUCUGAAAUUGAAAAAACCGAGUUGAUAGAGUAUUGGAAAAGUGAAGGAUUUGUGGAUUCCAGCAGCGGGUGGGGGGUUCUUGGUGCUCUCGUUCGGGCAUGCUUAUUGGAGGAAGCAGGUGAUCGUGUAAAAAUGCACGAUAUGAUCCGUGACAUGGCAUUAUGGAUAGCAAAUGAAGUAGAGGAGGAGGAGGAGAACUUUUUGGUUCGUGCAGGAGUUGGAUUAACUGACGCCCCAAAGAUUGAAGAAUGGGAAGGGAUCAAAAGGAUAUCCUUGAUGAGGAACAAAAUUCGAAGUCUACCACAAAUUCCCACUUGUCCGCGUCUGCAAACAUUGCUUCUGGCGAGUAAUCGUAUUAAGGAGAUCACUGAGAGUUUCUUUCAAUCUUUGCCUUUGCUUAGAGUUUUGAAUCUAAGUGAAAAUCAUUACCUAACUGAACUACCUGUAGGGAUUUCAAGAUUGGUUUCAUUACACCAUCUUGAUCUGUCUUUUACUGAAGUGCGUGGGUUGCCGCAAGAGCUCAAGGCAUUGGUGAAUCUGAGAUAUUUGAACUUGGAGUAUACAAGUGAAAUGUCUAGAAUUCCAGAGCAAUUAAUAUCAAGCUUUUCGAAGUUACAGGUACUCAGGAUGCUGUAUUGCGGUCCACGUCUCCAGCCAAUAGUGGAAGAAGGCAACGUUCUAUCUGCUGAUGCUGAAUCAUUGAUGAAGGAAAUCCACUGUUUGGAACAAUUAAAUCUCAUCACCUUGUCCUUACAUGGUUCGCGUGGUGUUGAAAACUUUCUGAAAUUCCCAAAGCUGCAGAAUAUCACUCAAGCUCUGCACAUCGAAGACUGCAACAGUCUACCGCUCAAUUUGUUGCAUCUAGCAAACAUGGAGCAUCUUGAGAAGUUAUUUAUCGAGGAUAGUAAUUUGGAAGACUGGAAUGUCGACUGCGCGGGAGAGGUACAAAAAAUGCGUAAACUUCACUUUGUUUCAAUAUACGAAUGCUCAAAUGUGAAGGACUUAACGUGGCUUGUUUUUGUUCCAAAUCUCAAGUGGCUGCGAAUAUUUGAUUGUGAUGACAUGGAAGAAAUAAUCAGUGUUGAAAAUUUUGAAAAAUUGAGUGAAGUUUCAGAGAUGAUGGGAGAGCUUAACUUGUUCUCGGAACUCGAAUCUCUGAAUCUAGGAUAUGCAAGUAAUUUGAAGCGCAUCUACCGCGAUCCCUUGCCCUUUCCACAGCUGGAGCAAAUUUACAUAUCGAAAUGCCCAAAGUUGAAGAAGCUCCCGCUCAAUUCCAGCAGCGCAAAGGGACGUAAAAUUGUCAUUUACGGGGAGAAAGAAUGGUGGGAAGAGCUACAAUGGGAGGAUCAAGCCACUCAAAGUGCUUUCUCUCCCUGUUUGGCUGUUUCGUGCCUUCAUGAAUAAUAAAGUGCAAUAAGGCGCAAAAGUGUGAAUAAAGUUUCUGCGUGUGCUUAAUGAUUAUCUUGUCUAUCCAUUUCAUUUAAUUUAAAAGCUUUCUACGGUGUUGCGUGUGUGUCACUUGUCAUUCUUCUGCACUGCUGUUUCCUAUUUCCAGUUAAUAAAAUUUUUUUGUUCUUAGAAAUGCUUUGCUGGUAAUAUAUUCUAUUUACUUUCCUCCUAUUUUCAUUACAGCUAAUAAUUGCAUAGUUGUAUAAUUUUUUAAUAUUAUCUUUAUUUUUAAAUAUACUUUUAUUUAUAUUUAUUAUAAAUUAAAUAAAUGUAUGAAUAGAAAUUAAAAUGAAAACUAAGUAUUAAAACAAGAAAUAUAUAUUUUGAUUUGAAUAAAAAUAUAAAUAUUUGUUUGUACUUUUUUAUAUAUAUAUUCAAUAUAAGAAAAUAUUUAUAAAAUAAAAAGUGUAAGAAAAAUAUCUUAUUAUUAAUUCUUAUUCACAUCAAAACAUAUAUUUCUUACUUUAAAUACUUAAUUUUUUAUUCAAAUUAUCAUUCAUAUGAUUUAUUUAAUUUAUAAUACAUAUAAAUAAAAAUAAUAUUGUAAAUUAUGUUGUUAGAAAUUAUUAGUUAUUAUAAAAAUAAUAUGGGACAAAUGGUAAAUCGGAGAUAUUGUUUCCUAUUUUCAGCUAAAAAAUUUAUUUGUUCUAAUAAUUGCUUUGCUAGUAAUAAGGCCUGCAAGUUGCUUAACUGAAUAUGACUUCUUUUUUAAAAAUGUUACUAUCAAUUUCGAUGAUUGAUUAUCUCGAAGUAGUGAAAUUUAUGUAAUGUUGGUAUUAAAAAAAUUUGUGCUACUGAUAAAAAAAGUCCAUUGGAUUCGGCCUAAAUGACGGAUCGUGGCUUGAUUUUCUCAUCCCAAAGGCUCUGUAUCUCACUUUCGAAAGUAGUUUUAGCAUAAUGUAGGUGAAAAAUUAAAAUAUUCUGCGAUCUCUAUAUAGCUUUUCCAACAGAUUUCACCCAUUUGACUGUAGACCAAAGCAUCCAUUGGAUCGAUGCAUUUAUUAAGAAGAGGAUCAUUCGGAGCUACAAUUGGAGGAUCGAGUCACGCAAAGAGUUUUCUCUACUUGUUUCGAUCCUAUGGAGAUAGAGUUUUCAUAGAUUGAUGGUAGGAGCUUUUUUGUCAAUUUAUGUAUCUAAUUGUGUGUAACAUGCUUUCUUGUCUUUCAUAUCAGACAUUGUAAAUUUGUAAUGUUGCCAUUUUCUUUUUCCUAUCAAGAAAGAAAGAGCAUUGCGAGUAGUCUUUCCAAUUUUCACUCCUUUUUGGUAUGUGAAGAAAAAUAAUAAAGCAAAACAAACUAGUGUUGAAGAAAAAGAAAAUGACAAGUUCAAUAGGGCAAAAGUUCACCAUCCCUUUACCAUUUGCUCAAGCAAGUAAGCUUUACGUUUACUUCUUGAGAUUUGAACUAACCAGACAACUUGUAAUGUUACCAUAAAGUUCAAAGAUUAGAAGAGAAAAACUUAUGUCUGUUAGGCACUAUUAUUCAGGCUUAAAUAAUAACAAUAAAAUACUACACCAUGUCUGCUCUCUUUUACUUUUCUUGGUUCUGUUGUAAAAUUCAGUUCUAUUUGAAGGAAAUUAUUAACAUCAAAACUAAAUACUUCGUGAGCAUCUACUGACAACAUACUCCAGAUGACACCAUAACCAUAUCAUAUAAAGCAAGAAAUGUGAAAUAAAUACAAAAUGAAUCAUAGGAGGGAAUUACCACACUCUGCGGUCUCUCCUGCUAAACCCUGCAGUUAGAAUGCCAUUUGUCGUGAGCACCUGAAUCCCCAAAGGACUCCCAGCUUCAAGUGGCUUUGACUUAGCUUGCUUUAGCUCCAUUGCACAUACUCACUCACAUGAAGGAAAUGAACAGAACAAGAAACCUCAUCAUGCCGAAUAUGAUAGAUAUGACAAGGCAUUACACUGUAGGAAGCUCCCGAUUUCUCUACAAAACUCUGCAGGUUCUCCACAAUCAAGGCGUGCUCCAUCUUUAACAGAUCACUUCUACCAUUAAGAGAAGGAAGAGAGUUCCUCUCGUGUGGCAGUAAAUCCUUACUUAACACAGGAUUGAAGCCAACCAAGAACGGAAGGCAAUUUCGUUAGAUUAAGAACCGAAUCACCAUCCAAUAUAGUAGCAUUUGAACCAGAACUCUUGUUAAAUUCUUGAAAUCUCCUGCUUUCAUCAGUCUGUAAGAGAAAUGAAGAUGAGAAUAAUAGCCAGAACCGGAUUAAAUUCAAUCUGGUCUUUUGAAGACUUCUAUAACAACUAAGAGAACCCAGUGUACCGCCUACAGAUACUGUCAGGCUUCUAUCAAAUAUCCCAAACACCAAAAACCAACCCAAUUAAGCUAACAAACCUGCAUGAAUAUCUAAAUUUCAAUGCACGUGAAACAAACUCCGUGUUCAAUCCACCAAAACUAGCAAAUUUCAAACUUUAUCACUCAUCAUUCUCUCUCUGUCAGCUGUAUGAGGCUAUGAGAUCAUGUUAUAAUGUUCAUAUUGAUGCUGAAUGUUUUGCCAGCUUGUCUGAAUUCCAUAAGAGAAUGCAAUGUGCACAUUAUUGUGCCUUGCCCACCAUUAGAUUCUAAACCACAAAAUCAUUGUGUGAAGUAGCUGACGUUUCGCACAUUCUUAUCCCUUAUCAUCAAUAUUCUUCUCCUCAAGCUUAGAUCAUGGAAAUUUGAGUGACAAACAUGAUAACAUGGUAACACCAUCUAAACUUUAGGGGCAUAAAGUAACAUAGAAGCAACAUGGGAUGUUUUAAAAUCUAUUAUAAUUUGCUUAGGCCCCUGAAUAAAAUUAAAACUUGUAAUGAAAUAAAGUAGCAAAAUAAAGAUUGGAGGUCGCAUGCUUGAUAUUUGAUGCUGUCAAAAUUAAUUUGCAGUGCUGAAAUUGCUGCUCCAAUAAAUUUUUCAAUGGGAUUUCUAUAUUUACAACAAAUUUUCAGUAUUGAAACAGGAUUAAAAUCAUAAAGUAUCUUUUAAACAGCAGAGGCAACAAGAUCCUACAGAAAAAGAAGGCAAAAAGUAGUUACAAGCUACAGAAACGCAAAUAUUCUACUGGCCAACUCCCACUAAAUUCGAAGCAAUUCUAAAAUCUCAGCUUGUACUACGACAUCAUUCCUUCUAUGUGGCCCAACUGUACUUCACCCAGAAAUCACAUUUCUUCAUCAGAGAUAAUUUUACUUCUAAUAAGAGAGAAUUUUUUAUAUGCAUGGCUUUACAGUAAUGAAUAAUUUUCCUUAAAUCUUUUCUAACAGACAAGAAAGCACAAAGCACAAAAAUUGAUAUAAACAACUUUUCUCGAAGCUUUUUCAUAAGAAAACCUGAACAUGAUUGCUUCUCUUAGAAGGCCCCCUAGCUUCCUGCAAGAACCUUGUGCCCCCAAAAAAAACAAAGGAUUAUAAUUAGGCAUAAGGCUCCCAAUGUUCUUGCAGGAAUUAUGAUGAAUAUGAGAGUUUCAAAAAAGAAAAAAAAAUAUUACGACAACCUCUAGGCGGAGGAAAUCAGUUUUCUAGGAAUUCGUUAGAUUGGUGAAGUUAUAGAACCGCAGCAAUUUGCUGUAGUUUGGAAUGUUUUUGCCUUUCAUUAUAGCAUUUGAAAAGGCUCAAGGAUAUAGAAGAACCUUGGCUACAAAUUCAGGGAAGAUUUCACUUAUAAUGAGAAAUAAUCACCAUUAUUAUAUACAAUGAGAAAACAGUUAUGGAAGAAAUAGAAAGAAUUACCCGAAACGGAGGAUUUGGAAGACAAUGAGACAAAAGUAUAAAGAAGAAGAAAUUGGAGAUAUAAUGACUGCCUAUUUCUUUGAUGAACCCAUCAAAAACGGCUUGAAAAUUAAAGAAAUUGUAAAAUGCUGUAACGGAGGAAUUGAAACUGUAAAAGAUGCAAGUUAAUUCAUGGGGCUGGCCAUCUUGAUUGAUUGAACACCUAUUAGAUUUUUAAUAUUAAAGAACUCACUUUAAUGAUGUUUAAUUGGUAGUAGCCCUUUAUAGUCUUUAAACCUUUAGCAGUGCAAAGUCACAAGCUUUGUCCAGAAUCUAAGGGCGUAAGUUAUAGGCGAUGGGUGCCAUCACCUGGGCAACGACGUACAUCGCUUGGGCGACAAGCCAAUUUACUAGGCUCAUCGCAAACAGCCUUCGUCGCCUGGGCGAUGGCCAAAUCCAUCCAAUAAACUUUCAGCUCAUGUUUGAUAGUCUAAAAAAAGUAGUUAUGGUGGCCAUCACACAUCACAUUUUACUGACAAGCUGUCUUAAUUUUCAUAGAAAAUUGUUCCUACUGAUUUUCCAAUACUGGCCUAAUACUUGCAGAUUAUUAAACGAUUAUGGAAUGGCGGCGAUUUUAGACCAGUAAUUUUGUCAAUAAUUGCUAAUUCGCAAUCCCUUUACAAAUCUAAUAAUCUACUGCAUACACGCUCUUGAUGACUUGGAUUCUCAAAAAAUAACCAUUUUACGCCGCUGAAGCGCAGAAAAAUCAAUUGUUUUAUCCACUUCCAAAUAAAACUUAUUCUAGUAAAUGCGAUAAAGAAAUGUUUAUUUCAAUUUCCAACCCAGAUCUCAUAAAGAAUUUCUCACUCAAAUAAACAAAUAAAUAUCAUCUGGUAAUGGUAUGACAUUUAUUUUGAAGUAAACACUGGCCCACUAUUUUCUCAAUUUUCCAUUGUUUGAGGACACCAUUUUCUCAAUUGAAGAACAUGUUCUGGCCAAAAUUCACAAUUUUCUCCACGUGAUUUAAAGCACACAGGAUUCACACUUUUCUCCACGUGAUUUAAAAGCACACAGAAUUCUCCUGACCUUAAUUACGGAUCUUAUUAUGUUUAUUGAAAUCCAAUAUUGUAGACUCAUUGUUGUAGCUAGAAAAUCAUAUUAAUAGAGUAAAAUUUAUAAAUAAUCAAAGAAAAGAGUUCACGCUCUUACUUCAUUACUUUUAUAAUCUUAUUAGUAUAUCUACUUACAUGUCUUCAGAAAAUACAGUUUUAAGAGGAUAUUUUUAUUUUUCUUCGUAAUAAUAGAUUUAAUUUUCAUCUUUCUAAUGUUAAGUUGCAUAUUUGGAGUAAAUAAUAUUAAAUUUCAAAUUAGAUCACAGACCCCAUUUUAAUAGAUUCAAUUGGAUUUUGGACAUCUAAUUAAACAACUGGACUAAUAAAUUGCAAAUGAAUGAGAUUUAUAUGUGAUUUUAAAAUAAAAUUUGAACUCAAAUCUAUGUAUUUAAUUAAUCCAACAGGACAAAUUUAUAAUUUUCACCAACUAAAUAAAAUAUGUUAUCAGAAACUUUUGGACCAAGUCGCGCACUUCGUGGGUCUGCUACUACUUAUAGUCCAUUCUCAUUCAACUUUCACAUCUUUUAUAUUAUGUACAAAUUGGAUUAUAUUCUAAAACAGUGUUUCUAAUUGUUUAACGUUUUAUUUCUGGGUAUAUUUAGAGAUUAAAAAAUAUGGGAAACAUAAUUAAUUUUAUCAAAUAAAAAGGAGUAUUGUUCAUUUUUUCAUAAACAAUGUGUUAAAAUACUUUUGGUAUUUAAGAAGUAAAAAUUUUUAUUUUUGUUUCAUAAAAAAGCAUUCAAAAUUAUAUUAAAUAAAAUUAAAGAUUAACAAAACUGACAUCUGAAUUUCGUGCAAAUUAUAAUAAGUUUAUCUCCAGCGUGAGUAACAUUAAAGCUUGGCUAGCAUCAUCAUAUUUUAUCUCCAGCAUCAAAAUUCUGAUAACAUCAACAUCAUAAUUCCAAGGUUGUCAAAACUAAUUAUCAAAUUAAAAUCCUUUGUGAUUUAAGCUCUCUUGGACUUUUAAAAAUGUUAUGCCACCCCUUCUUUAAUAAUAGUAGUAUAUGAUUAUGAUUUAAUUAUUUUAUUUUUUUAAUUUAUCAAACACCAAUCACUUAAAUUAAACUCAAGAAAAAAAUUAGAACAUCAAAGAAUUUUAAUUGCUUCUUAUUAAGUACUAGAAUUAACUUCUCCCAAUGAUAAUUUAUUAAGCAAACCAUAAUGAUCAUCUUACACUAAAGAACCAACCCAUCUUCAAAACACAAGAAUUUAGUACAAAUAAUUAUCCCAAUAAAGUUUAACGAAAAAGAAAAGAGAUAUUUUUAUUAUUUCUUUUACUUUCUUAGUGGCUCUGCUACUACCUAUAGUCCAUUCUUAUUCAACAUACAGAUCUUUUAUAUUAUAUGCAAAUUAAAAUAUAUUCUAAAAAGUGUAUCCAACUGGUUAACAUAUUAUUUCUAUAUAAUAAUCAAUUUUAUCAAAUAAAAAGGAGUUUUGGUCAUUCAUUUGGCUCCGUUGCCACUGUUGUACGCUACAAAAGCUUUUGUCUUUGCUGACUCAGUUACUGUAAAAUGUCGUUCAGCCCCUUAUACUCUAUUUUAUUUAUAAGAAUUAUAAAAAUUUCUAAUUACCUACACUUUCAAAAUUCAAUUUAUCUCCUUACAAUCUUUUUCAUUUACUUUUUUUUGUAAGUAUUAAAAAGUUUCUAUUUACAACCACGACAUAGUAAUCAUCAUAACACACGAAUAUUUAUAAAAAUAUAAAAAUAUCACUAAAUUAAUACUAAAAAAUGUUUUCCUCUCUUGAGGAAUUAUGGUAUCUCAUUUUCGAUCACUCAUUAUCAACAAAAUUUUCAAAGAUAUGAUCAUUCAUCUUCUUUAUAAUAUCAUCUUAUAAUAAUUAAUACUUUCAUGAUUAAAAAAAUUAACAAAAUAAAGAUAAAUUCCCUUUGAAUCCAUCCCUCUCUACUAUCAUUUUCUCUUCAUUAGCAACAUUUAUCAAUAAUUGAAGCCACCAUCAGACUCAUCACACAGAGAGAGUGAGAGAGGGGAAGAAGAAACGGGAAAAAAAAAUAUAUGAGACAUUUACAAUUUUAUAGUGUGUUUAUUCAACGAGAUUCAUAUAUAGUUGCUAAGGGGUUUCAUUAGACACAGAGAGUUUAUUACACUGAAACUUUUAAUCCAGUAGUUAAGGCCUCAACAAUCAGAGUUAUUCUUAGCCUAGCAGUACUUAACAAGUGGAUAAUCAGACAAGUGGAUAUUAAUAAUGCCUUAAUGGCAUUUCAGUUGAAGAAGUUUACAUGGCACAACCUGAGGGAUUUGUGGAUCCUACUAAACCCCAACACAUCUGCAAAUUAAAAAGGACUAUAUAUGGCUUGAAGCAAGCUCUCAGGGCUUGGUUUGAUAGAUUCAAAGCUGCAAUGAUUACUCAAUGACAUUUUCAACACUCAAAAUCAGAUAAAAAAUAUCAAAAUAUUUAUAUCAUUAAACUUUUAGGCCUAAUUAACUAAUUAAAGUUCUAAAUUUUUAUUUAGGACAUUAAAAAGACCGGAUAGAUUCUAUUAGCCCAAAAAUUUUAUUUUAAUUUUAAUAUUCAUUAAAUAUUUUAAACUUAAAUCUAUUUUUUAUUUAUUUUUAGAUGUUAGAAUUGCCCACAGCGAAUCACAAUUUUAAUAUCUAAUCUAAUUUAAUCUAAUAUUUGCUCUUGAUUUGCUCUUACUUAACUAUUGUGUUGUAAAGGGAAUAGUCCACAUUUAUAAAGUGCCCACGCCACCCUUGAAAAAGUUAAUUUUGAAUCUAAAUUUGAUUUUAUUUGUAACAAUUUUGUAUUAGACUAUUAAUUUAUUUAUGAUAGUUUGUAAAAGAAGUUUGUAUCCCUUGCAUGCUGCGUUACUUACUAAUUUAAUGUAUGUGACUUUUGUAAUGGAUAUUAAUGCAAGAUAUUUUUCGAACUUUACUUUUAUUUAAAUUUUAUUUUAAUAUGAUUAACUCAAAUCGAAAAUAAAAAAAUGUAUUAAUUAUUCGGGGAUCGGGGACCCUCGGGGAUCCCCUAUUAUUAUUCGGGGAGGAGAUAGAGAUUCUCUUAAGUAAUUCUGACAGGGACGGGAAGGGGAUGAGGACAUACACAAAAUAUUGGGAAUGGUUACGGGGAGAUUGGUCCCCUCCCCUCCCCUCCCCAUUGCCAUCCCUAACUCCCUGACUAAAUAAUUUGGGAAUAUAAGGAUGCAAUAAGAGUUGAGUGGUCUUUAUUCCCAUAGCAUUAUUUUUUUCUCGCUUCAUCCGUGCUCUAUUCAAUCUUUAUGUGCCGCUUGUGUUAUGUUCCUGCAUAUCUAAUUACCUUUAGCUGCUUGUGUUAUGUUUACUUGUUUUGAUCUUAAUCUUUAAUCACUUAGCCUGAAUAAGAAAUAAUUUUUUAUAUUUGCUCUGCAAUGAUGUUAUUCGGUGUUAAUAGCUUCGUUUUGUUACUCUUUUCCGCACAGAUUCUUGAUCUCAACAGAACUUUUAUUUUGAAUAUUCUGCAUAAGGACAAUCUCAUUUAAUACCAUCAGUGAUUUUUCAUUUUUUUUCUCUUUAGUUUUAAUAUGUUUGAUAACUGUAUGGCUAAGCAAUCUAUGCAAUUUUAUCUUGUCGUAUGUUUGAGCUCAUUUUUUGUUGCAAUUCUGAAUAUUUGGUAUGAAUUAUGUGAUACCGGACAAUACUGUUAACUUGUUCAUUUCUUAAUUUUAAUAUCUUGUCAAAGUCACUAAUAGCAUUUCAUCAUGCUAUGAGUUAAACAUGGAACAAAUGACGACAUGCAGUUGUGGAAUGUGGUAGAUCUCUGGAAUUCUAUGUCCUUAUGCUUGUAGGGCAACACAAUACAUUAGUUAAAACAUUAAAGACUAUGAUGUCCGCAGAAAAUUAUAUGUCAACAUAUGCACCAGGCAUGAUGAAAUUAGCCAAAGACAGUGCUUGGAAACAAUUAACUAACUUUUGGCAUUAGGCGUAUCAAGUUCAAUUCGGUAUUUCACAAAACUUAAACUAACUUAUUCCUAAUUAUAGUGGACACAAUUAACUAACUUUGGCAACUGUUCUGAAGAGGAUGACUUCUUCAGGAUGACAUCAACUACCAGCGAUGAUACUAUCAGUAAGCUGCUUCUGCUAUCUAUUAAAUAUUACUGCUAAACGUAAUAUUGACAAUUUGUCUGUGUGCAGGCCUGUGAUAACCACUUGGAUCGGAUAAAGGACUGGGACAUCAACAAUUUGCCCAGAAACCAAUAAGAUAUCAUUGUAAUGUUUAAUUAUACAUGUAUUAGUUUCUCUUUGGAUGGUGCUCUUUGUUAUGCAAAAGUAUGGCGACUAUGUUUCAACCAGUGUAUCUAUUAUAUACACUAACUAUGAAUUACUAGAAAUUUUAUUACAUUAAUCAUUUUUAGAUAGCCACUCAUCUCAAACGAAACAAACUGGUCAGAGACACUUGACCCAACAUGCUUGUGAUCGACCUUAGAAUAAAUUUUUCUCACUCAAUAUAGACAACUUCUGUGAGGUUAAUAUUUCUUCAAAUGUCAAGAAAAGCAUUGGCCACAUAAAUGCAUACACAUGUUUUUGUUGGGAAGUUAAGCAGACGGGAACAACAUUGGACUAUAUACUCAUACACCAAACUUUAAUAAACUAAUAAAUAUAAUUUAAUAAUAAUUUAUUUCUCCUCGCUUAUGUGAGAAAAAGUCAAACCACAUAACGUAUUUAUAUUUUGUUAAGAAAUUUUACUGAUUGAACUAAUUAACACUAAUUUCUUAUCUCUCUUAACCAACGGAUAUUUUGAAGAUAGUUUUUUAUUUUCUAUAUUUUAUGUACUAAAUGAUUUUAAACCUCUAUCACGUCAUGAAUAAAUUGGAGUUUAGGUUGCUUAAAAUAAUAAUAAUAAUAAUAAUAAUAAUAAUAAUAAUAAUAAUUAAUAAAUGUAUUGAUGGAUUUCAUAAUCAUCCCACUUAGGGGUGGGCACGGUUCGGUUCGGUUCGAAAUUAAGUAGAACCGAUUUAAAUCGGUUAUUUUAUAAAAAGAACCGAAUAAGAACCAAACUCAAUAAGAACCAAACUCAAUAAGAACCGAACUCAAACGGUUCUUUUCGGAUCGGUUCGGUUCGGUUCGGUUUUUUCGGUUCUGGGUCUAUUGGGCCUAUUUUGAAUUUUUAAAUUUUUAGCCCAUUGGGCCUCAUAAAUGUAAUAAUUUUUUUCAACAAUUAAUUUAUCCUAAUUUUAUUACAAAUAUUAACAAUAAAUACAAAGUAUUCAAAACACAUUUUAUCACUAAUAUCUUACUAAUUAUUAAUAAGAUACUCCCAAAAUAUGAAAUAUUAAAAUUUCAAAAUACAUAACCAAACUCCAAUACUCCAUCUAUAUAAACAUAAUCAUAAUGUUAUAAAGAGAAAUAACACAUGUUUGAUUUGAAUAAAAUCAUGUUUGAUUUGAAUAAAAUUAUUAACACAUGUUUGAUUUGAAUAAAAUAAAAAAAUAAUUCGGUUCUUCGGUUCGGUUUUUUGGUUCAGCUAAGUGAACCGAAUACCGAACCGACAUUUCAGUUUUUUUUACAAACGGUAUAUUCGGUUUUUUUAAAAAAUAAAAACCGAACCGAAUUAAAAAAAACCGUCGGUUCGGUUUUUUUUAACAUUACGGUUUUUUUGCCCACCCCUAAUCUCACUCCUACGCCUCAAGACAAACAAGCUCACACUUCACGGAUCAGUCAAAGGAUCGGCUUUCAAGUCGUUGAAUUCACGGUGGUCAAACUAACGGAAAAACUAACGUGACGUCAAUCAGAUACGGUUUAUAAUAUAUGUAUCCUCAAUCAACGCAAAAAGUUUGAUCUGAAAAACCCUCUGCCUAAAACGCGUUUUCAGAAACGCGGUUUUGUUUUUCAAGUGGUUCCCAGAGCAUCCAUGCCAUGCUCUGUAUCAAUCAUUUCGUGCAUGUUUGGAGUUUGGCACGGCCAUUUUUACUGACUUUGUUAAGAAGUACUUAGAAGCUCAUUAGGAAAUGAUAACAAACGAAGCCUUGCGCUUUUACAUGUUACAUGCAUUAUUGGUAAGACGGUUGAUGAGUUACGUUAUAUGAACCCACAAUUAGUCGCCCAAUAGCCACCAUAUAUUAAAUAAUCAGUCAAAUUUUGAAUUGGGUAGUUAACUAAUUUCGAAUUACCGUAAGUCAUAAAUAAUGCAGGUUAGUAAGACCCGAGCCUAGGCAAAUUAAGGUCGUUAUCGCCUCUAAAUCAAGGCUGCAUAACCCAAAGUUAAGGGCACAUGUUCGAGUCCCAACUCCACAGUGUUGGAACUCUAUUAUAGUAUUAUUCCCUUUCACAUUAAAAGGAUAGGAUGGUUAUUUCUCUUACAUAUGUAGAUAGAUCAAAUAUAUCUUCUAAAUAAUAAUAGAUUUAUCAUUUUAAAGAGUUGUUUUAGAUAUGUGGAUAGAUCAAAUAAUAGACACCCUUUCCAUGAAAGGAGACUCAUUGAUUAUUGUUAAAAAAAAAAUUCGUUGAUGUUAUUAGAGAACUUGCAAUUUUUUUAUAACACUAAAUUUUUUAAUUUUUUAAGAUUUUUCUAUGAAUAGCAUGAAUUUUUUAUAGCAUUGGUAAUGAGGAUAUUAUGGACCUUUAGAUUUAAAUAUUUUAAUCUUCGCCAUUCAUUCAAUUUAGUGGAUAAAUAACUAAUUACUUAAUUUUUCAAGUUGCAUGUAGUAUAUAAGUUUAUGUAUGUAAUUCUAUUUUUAAUAAAUAAAUAAAUAAAUUUUAAAUCACUAACAAAAAAAAAUGCAAAUAUGUAUGUUAGUUUAGACGUGUACAUAAUAGAUAUGAAUUGAUAUUAUUUAAUUAUUGCACAAGACAUGCUAAUAAUGAUCUCUUUUGUCAAUAAUAAUCAGGAGAAUAAAAUGUUAAUUUCUUGAUUUUACUGGAUGGCUAAGAUCGAGUUAAGUCAAUUUUCGUUAUAUUUGUUAAUCUAAUAAUAUGUUGGCGAAAAAGAGGGAAUAUGAUUACAAACUAAGAUUGAGUUAAUUUUUUUAAUUCAGUCUUUAAAAAAUUGUACAACUGGUUUGAUAAUUGGUUAAUGAAAUUUUAAAUAACUAAAAUCAAGAUAUUAUUUUAACUAUAACUUCUAAUUUUGUACCAAACGUUGAUGAUCUUGAUGGGCGCAGAGGAUAGUUGGGUACGGUGCUGUAGUGGGCAACUAUGAGGAUAAAGUGAUGGUGACUGGAAUUGACAUAGGGGUAUACUUGGAUGAUGUUGAUUAUAGUGCGGCUGAGGCUUUAUGCUUUAGCUUAGAGUUGCUUAUCAAGAAUCUAUUAAUAACACAUUAUACUCAUACACCAAAGUUUAAUCUGAAUGAAUCAAGUAAUUCUAUGUUAAUAAAAGUUUUUAGACUUACGAUGAGGGUCUAGUUUAUAUAAAUGCAAAUAACACUGAAAUCUAAUAAUCCUUUACAAAUAAAUAUGAUUUAUUCAAUUAUCGCAAACAAUUGUUUUAUCAGAGUUAAUUACAUUAUUGCUAAACUUGUAUAAGCUUUCCUGUUUCAAGCAUAUCUACUUAAUUACAUUAUUCAUCGACAAUGUUACUUUGCUAGUAGAAGUUUUAUGUUUUCAUACCUUAAUCACUAUUUAACGCUUCGUUUUCCAAUAGUUCUAAUUCUUCAAAUUUUGGUUUUAUUCUUCCAUAAUUAUAAAUUGAUACUGAUUCGCACGACUCAAAUUAAAGUGGUUAAUUACUCUAAAAGUAUAAAUUUGGCAGUCAAUAAUUACUUAAAAAUAAUUGCAAAAAAAUUAAUAAGGAAUAGUAUAAAUUUAAAAACCGCUAAAGUUACGAGAUCCAUGCUUGAUAUUUAAAUCAUGGUCAUAAUACUCUUUCUCUCUCUCUCUCUCUCUCACACACACACACACAUAUAUAUAUAACCACUUUCAAUAUUAUGUUACUUAGUUCUUAAUUAACCGCUCUAUAAAUAAAUAUGAGAAUUAAGUACAUAUUAUGCUACAACCUUAUUGGAGUGUUCCCACUACCAUAUUAGUAGUCAACAUUAGGUCUAAACACCCACAUAAUAUUUUUGGUGAACUUGCAACCACAACCUUUAAAUUAGGGGUGGGCACGGUUCGGUUCGGUUCGAAAUUAAGUAGAACCGAUUUAAAUCGGUUAUUUUAUAAAAAGAACCGAAUAAGAACCAAACUCAAUAAGAACCGAACUCAAACGGUUCUUUUCGGAUCGGUUCGGUUCGGUUCGGUUUUUUCGGUUCUGGGUCUAUUGGGCCUAUUUUGAAUUUUUAAAUUUUUAGCCCAUUGGGCCUCAUAAAUGUAAUAAUUUUUUUCAACAAUUAAUUUAUCCUAAUUUUAUUACAAAUAUUAACAAUAAAUACAAAGUAUUCAAAACACAUUUUAUCACUAAUAUCUUACUAAUUAUUAAUAAGAUACUCCCAAAAUAUGAAAUAUUAAAAUUUCAAAAUACAUAACCAAACUCCAAUACUCCAUCUAUAUAAACAUAAUCAUAAUGUUAUAAAGAGAAAUAACACAUGUUUGAUUUGAAUAAAAUCAUGUUUGAUUUGAAUAAAAUUAUUAACACAUGUUUGAUUUGAAUAAAAUAAAAAAAUAAUUCGGUUCUUCGGUUCGGUUUUUUGGUUCAGCUAAGUGAACCGAAUACCGAACCGACAUUUCAGUUUUUUUUACAAACGGUAUAUUCGGUUUUUUUAAAAAAUAAAAACCGAACCGAAUUAAAAAAAACCGUCGGUUCGGUUUUUUUAACAUUACGGUUUUUUUGCCCACCCCUAAUCUCACUCCUACGCCUCAAGACAAACAAGCUCACACUUCACGGAUCAGUCAAAGGAUCGGCUUUCAAGUCGUUGAAUUCACGGUGGUCAAACUAACGGAAAAACUAACGUGACGUCAAUCAGAUACGGUUUAUAAUAUAUGUAUCCUCAAUCAACGCAAAAAGUUUGAUCUGAAAAACCCUCUGCCUAAAACGCGUUUUCAGAAACGCGGUUUUGUUUUUCAAGUGGUUCCCAGAGCAUCCAUGCCAUGCUCUGUAUCAAUCAUUUCGUGCAUGUUUGGAGUUUGGCACGGCCAUUUUUACUGACUUUGUUAAGAAGUACUUAGAAGCUCAUUAGGAAAUGAUAACAAACGAAGCCUUGCGCUUUUACAUGUUACAUGCAUUAUUGGUAAGACGGUUGAUGAGUUACGUUAUAUGAACCCACAAUUAGUCGCCCAAUAGCCACCAUAUAUUAAAUAAUCAGUCAAAUUUUGAAUUGGGUAGUUAACUAAUUUCGAAUUACCGUAAGUCAUAAAUAAUGCAGGUUAGUAAGACCCGAGCCUAGGCAAAUUAAGGUCGUUAUCGCCUCUAAAUCAAGGCUGCAUAACCCAAAGUUAAGGGCACAUGUUCGAGUCCCAACUCCACAGUGUUGGAACUCUAUUAUAGUAUUAUUCCCUUUCACAUUAAAAGGAUAGGAUGGUUAUUUCUCUUACAUAUGUAGAUAGAUCAAAUAUAUCUUCUAAAUAAUAAUAGAUUUAUCAUUUUAAAGAGUUGUUUUAGAUAUGUGGAUAGAUCAAAUAAUAGACACCCUUUCCAUGAAAGGAGACUCAUUGAUUAUUGUUAAAAAAAAAAUUCGUUGAUGUUAUUAGAGAACUUGCAAUUUUUUUAUAACACUAAAUUUUUUAAUUUUUUAAGAUUUUUCUAUGAAUAGCAUGAAUUUUUUAUAGCAUUGGUAAUGAGGAUAUUAUGGACCUUUAGAUUUAAAUAUUUUAAUCUUCGCCAUUCAUUCAAUUUAGUGGAUAAAUAACUAAUUACUUAAUUUUUCAAGUUGCAUGUAGUAUAUAAGUUUAUGUAUGUAAUUCUAUUUUUAAUAAUGACAAUUGAUUGUGUUAGCAUUUUGGUCAAAAAGGUGGACCCCCCCAAAAACAAACAAAAAAAAUUUAUGAUAAUAAUUAACAUUGAUAAAUAAAAAUAUUAAUAAUGGGUGUGUUAGCAUUUUGGUCCAAAGCCGAUUUGGCCUUGACAUUAAUUGGAAUUUUGGAUCUAUAAUAUGAUUUUCACCGAAAAGAUAAUUUUGCCGCUAAUUAUUUGGGUAGUCAGAUAAUAAUAACAAAAAAAUGUUAUCUCGAUCUCACCUAUAACUUGAGGAGAUAAUAAUGAUAGUCUUUCAUAAUACUCUACUGUUUAGUUUCUCUUCUUCAUUUUUUUCCCCUUUGAAGUCUUUCAACAAAAAUGGGUGGCAUCAUCUCAACCUUCUUCUCAGCGGACACAAUUCGUCCAAUUUUAUUUUACGUCGGUGGACGAGCAAAGUAUAUAUGGGGUCUUAAAGGUAAUCUCGAUGACUUGCAAACUGAAACGGAGAACUUGAUUGCGAAAAAACUAGAUCUACUGAAUAAGGUUAGGCUUGCCGAACAACAACAGCCUCGUGCCCAACGGACGAGCACGGUGAAACUCUGGUUCGAAAGGGUGGAUCGAAGUGUAACUCUUGUUGAGGGGCUGCAACAAGAAAGAGAUCAAGAGAUUGACAGAUUGUGUCUUGGAGGCUUCUGUUCCAAGGACUUGAUUUCAAGCUACGACUUCGGCAAAAAGGUGGAGAAGUUGAAGGAAGAAGUAAUCAAAUUGAGGGAAAAAGGAGAAGCAAU
rnacentral:lncRNA from 1 species